GAUAAUACCUCUACAAACAAGCUAUACUAGAGCAAGAAUAUCUCAUAUCAUCAGGGUUAAAAGCAAGAGUAUCCCAUAUCAUGCUUUUUCCUUGUCUUUUCCUUUGGCCUUGUUCUUACCUGCAAGACAAGGAGAAAGAGAGCAAUCAGUCAGCACUUGGAAUCAAGCUUCCAGCCAGGAACUGACUGCCUGGAACCCCUUACCUGAUUACUUACCUGGCAUUGCUCUCGAGUACUCAUCUUCAACAUCUUAUGCUUCCAGGGAAGAUACCGCAUCUGCCUGAGGAACAAAUAGGGCAAGUGAGAAGGAUACAAGGAAGCAUGUGGAGACAAGCGUAACAGCACACGUGCCGAUACAUCCACUACUCUGUCAAAAGAAAAAGUAUCCCAUAUCAGCAGGGUCAAACGUACUCUAGAUUUGAUGGACUUGUUUUGACCCUCAAAUUCUUGAGUCGGCCUUAUACUCUGGAGGAAACCAGAAAACCCUCCAGCUCAGUUCAAGAAUAAGCCUGUGGAAAGUUACUUCUUCAAAAGCAAAAGUAUCCCAUAUCAUCUAUUCUCAUUUUUCUUCUCUUUAUCCUUCAUGCUGCCUGCAAGAUAUGGAGAAUGUGAACAAUCAGCCGGAGCUCUGAUUGCUUACCUUGUCUGUCACCUCUUUCAGCAGAUCCCCUAGCUCGGCGACUUGGGGGACUCCUACUACAUGGUUUGUAUCGCGCUUGACCAAGCCUGAAACUACAAGUAAGCUUCAAGUGAAAUUGAUACAUUACCUUGUGCAUCUCCACCAGUUAAAGAUACCACCCCUGGAUGGAGGAAGAGUACUUCCAGAGAAGAUGCCACAUCUACCUAUGAGACAGAUAAGGCAAGUCAAGACGAUACCACACUCCGAUACUUAGAAGUUUCGUGAUUACGAGAUCAUUCUCCCACAAUAUUUCCUAAUGUCAUUUGUACUAAAUCAUUCACUUGUACUCAUUAAAGGAGAGCUUGAACCUAUGUACUUGUGUAAACCCUUCACAAUUAAUGAGAACUCCUCUAUUCCGUGGACGUAGCCAAUCUGGGUGAACCACGUACAUCUUGUGUUUGCUUUCCUAUCUCUAUCCAUUUGUAUACUUAUCCACACUAAUGACCGGAGCAAUCUAGCGAAGAUCACAAAAAACGACCGUUUUCGCUACCUAGGAUCUAUCUUGCAAGAGAACGGAGAAUUAGAUGGAGAUCUCAACCAUAGAAUACAAGCUGGAUGGAUGAAGUGUAGAGUGCAUCCGGUGCAUCCGUGUUGUGUGACCGUCGUAGGCCACUGAAGCUCAAGGGAAAAUUUUAUAGGACGGCAAUAAGGCCAGCGAUGUUGUAUGGCACAAAAUGUUGGGCGGUGAAGCAUCAACACGUACACAAAAUGGGUGUAGCGGAGAUGAGGAUGCUUCUUGGGAUGUGUGGGCACACGAGAAAGGAUAAGAUUGGGAAUGAGGAUAUCCGAGGUAAAGUAGGAGUAGCCGAAAUUGAAGGAAAGAUGAGAGAAAAUCGGUUCCGGUGAUUUGGACAUGUGUAAAGAAGGCCUACUGACGCUUCGGUUCGAAGAUGUGACUACGGGACAGAGGUUUAGGGCCGAAGGGGUAGAGGAAGACCUAGGAAAACUUUGGAAGACUCUAAGGAAAGACUUAGAGUACCUGGAUCUAACGGAGGACAUGACACAAAACCGAGCGCAAUGGCGUUCUAGGAUUCAUAGCCGACCCCACUUAGUGGGAAAAGGCUUUGUUGUUGUUGUUGUUGUUGUUGGAUGUCUCUGGUCUGAAUUAGUAUUGAUUCUUGAAUUGACAAGUACUCCUGGGAGGAAGUGCAUAUCAUGUGUUUUAUCAUUGUCUAUAGCUUUAUGUGUGACUGAGAUUGUAUAGGGAAGGAAAUGUAAGUUGGGUAAUUCCUGCAGGGUACAUAAGUAGUUUGGUGGUGAUAUGAAGGCUUUUGUGAGGGGUGCUGUAUGGCAACAGUUUUUUUGGGGUUUCUUGGUUUGAGAGAAACACGAGGAUUUUUUAAAAUGAUAUUUGGAUGAGGACUAGUUAUGGAAUAAAGUUAGGUUUUGUUCACCACAUUGGCUGAGUAUCUAUUUUCUAAAUUUCAUGAUCCAUAUCCUUUGAAAGAUACUGUUUUUGGGUAUUCUGAUUUAUGUUGAAGGUCCUGUAUGUAGGAAGAAACUGUAAAACUUUAGUACGACUGUAUUGUUCAUGUAGUCUAGUUUUCAUUGUUGUCCAUUUUAAGGUGGGGGACAACUUAACUGAAGAGAUUGCAUUUUGUUGAGGAGAUUGGGUUGGCAAUUAAAGCAUUCCUUCAUAUGCACCGUAAUGGUGAUGAAAUAAAGAUCCAAAUUUGUUUGAACGGGGAACUGGGGCAUGGGAAGAAUUUAUCAUGUGUAAAUUUAGACCACUUUUUUAGAAGAUAAUUUUAUAUUACCGUAGGCUCAGAAUAUUUUAAAAGGCAUUUGACGAAAAAAUGUAAGAAUUUUAUAUCUGGCUACUAGCAUAAGGAAAUGAUGUUUUAAACUUUCAGUUUUUGAAUGUUGAUUCUGCAUAUUUGCUUUAAUCUGUUUUCCAUUUGGUAUAAAGUUCUGUACCAAAUGUGACAGUCGCCUUAAUGAGAUCACAGAAAGGGCAUCUGCUGAUAGAUAUGAGGUAUGCCGUAGGAUACUUGAGACUAAGCACAUAUUUGCAUUAAUCUUUUGCUACUGUCUUGGCUUAAUGAAUGCCAUGUGAAUCUAGGCUGAGUCCCUGGCUAAGAAAUAUGAAGAGAAAUACAAACAAGCUAGAGAUGUAGCUUCCAAGUUGACUAUUGAAGAAGCCACGUUUCGUGAUUUACAGGCACCUUUCACCACAUAUAAAUAUGUGGACAAUUAGUGACCCAUGUUGUGUGUUUUCUUUUGCUCAUUCGAAGAUCAAAGUGUCAAGUGCUUGCUGUUCUUUUUAUCCGAGUCAUAAUUGCCUGAACAUGUGAGACCGCGUAUUAGAGUUUGAUUUCGGGUAGAUUCAAUGGAACAGUAAAAUGCACACACAGAGAGCAGAGCUUUCUUCAAAGGUUUCAGUGUAUUCGACUUGUUCACCAAACAAAGAGCUCAAAGAGCAUGUUUUAACGUUGGAGGAGUGAGAAACAAUUUCACCCUCUCACAACAUUACAAAUCCAUCACAACCAUUCAUUUCAAAGUCAUCAUAUAAGAUGCUUGCACAUGUCAUGAGCUAUGACUCAUUCUAAUCCAAUCUAAUCUAAAUACCAAUUGGAAUAUGAUCCAAAGGUUUACAUUAGAUCCUACACUUUGUUUAUAAUGAAACUACCACAGCAAAUACAUUUAUACUUCAAUACUCCCUUCUAAAUGUUUUGCUGAUUUCACACCAAGAGCAGUUCUCAAGUAUUCGAAUCGAUCCUUAGGAAGAGCCUUGGUAAAGAUGUCUGCCAAUUGCUCCUCUGUGCUGCAAUAAUGCAGUUCAAUUGUCCCGUCUUGAAUGGCAUCUCUUAUGAAAUGAUACCUCCGAUUAAUAUGCCUGGUUUUAUGAUGAAACACUGGAUUCUUAUUCUUAGACAUGGCUAUGGCAGAAGUGUUGUCACACAAACAAAGGUGUAGCCUCCACUUGUUCUUCUCCAAAAUCAGAUAAAACAAACCUCAACCACAUUGCUUGUGUUGUAGCUUCUGCAGCACUUACAUACUCGGCCUCUCUGCAGUAGAUAAAGCCACACUGCAUUGUUUAACAGAAGCCCAAGAAAACACUCCUGAACCUAAACUGAAUGCAUAGCCUGAGGUGCUCUUCAUGUCAUCCAAGCUUCCUGCCCAAUCACUAUCACAGUAGCCCUAUCAACACAGCAGCUUUUCCUUUCACAUAUUCGAUUCCAAAAUCCAAUGUACCUUGCACAUAUCUUAAGACUCUUUUAGCUGUCCCCAUGUGUUUUCUAGUAGGUUUGUGCAUGAACCUUGCUAGCAAACAUGAUGCAUACAUUAGAUCAGGUCUAGUAGCUGUCAAGUAUAACAAACUACCAACCACUGUCCUGUACAAACUUUCAUCAGCAUCCUCACUUCCAUCUUCCUUAGAUAACUUGUCAUCAACUGCAAGUGGUGUUUUUACUGCUUUGCAUUCUUUCAAUCCAAAUUUCUCAAGUAGUGACUUGGCAUAUUUCUUCUGAUGAAUAAAUAUACUCUUAUCUGUUUGAACUAUGCCUAGACCAAGGAAGUGAUGUAACAAUCCCAGAUCUGACAUCUCAUAUUGCUUCAUCAUAUCCUUCUUAAAUUCUUGAAUCAUUUCAUCAGAAUUCCCUGUGUAGAUAAUGUCAUCUACAUACAGAGAUACAAUAAGCACACCUGCAUCACUGAACUUUGUAUAUAGAGUAGCUUCACUUUGGCUUUUCUCAAAACCAGAUCGAUUGAAAUAAUUGUCUAUCUCAUCAUACCAAGCUCUAGGAGCUUGUUUCAGACCGUAUAAAGCCUUUUUCAACUUGUAGACCUUAUCUUCCUGUCCUUGAACUUCAAAUCCCUGUGGUUGAUCCACAUAUACUUCCUCAUGCAGUGUACCAUUUAGGAAUGCAGAUUUAACAUCCAAUUGAAACAACUUCCAUUCCUUUUGAGCUGCCAAAGCAAUGAGAGUUCUAAUGGUAUCAAGCCUUGCCACAGGUGCAAAGGUCUCGUUGAAGUCCACUCCGGGCUUUUGAGAAUAAACCCUUAGCCACUAGCCGUGCCUUGUUCUUCUGUACUGAACCAUCCAGAUUGAGUUUUGUUUUGUAAACCCAUUUUACACCAAUUACAGGUUUAUCAAAUGGUCUUUUGACCAACUCCCAUGUAUCAUUCUUUUUCGAUCAUCUCUCAAUCUCUGUGGACAUAGCUUUUCUCCAAGCCUCAUCCCCUGAUGCUUCUUCAAAACAUUCAGGUUCUAUCACACAGAAAUUGCACCUUUCAUAAAUUUCAUUCAAGCCUCUGAACCUUAAUGGAGUAUGAUCAUACAUUUGUGAGCUGGUAUGAUCUAUUUGCUCUUCUUGUCUUGAAGAAGAAGCAAUAACUUGCUUCAUGUUGUUCCUGUAGUGAUUCUGUGCAUUCAAAUAUUGCAUCAUCUUCAACAGCUUCAGUCUCAUUCUCUUUGCUUCCAUCAACAUCACUUGGAACUGAGAUGGACAUAGUCUUCUUAUUACCAGAUUUCCAAUCCCAACAAGAGUUCUCAUCAAAUAUUACAUCUCUAGAAAUAACAAUCUUGUUAGUUUUAGGAUUGAACAACCUGUAACCCUUUUCACACGUUCCAUAGCCAAGGAAUAUGCACAUUACACUUGUUGCAUCCAGUUUCUGCCUCAUUUGUGAUGGAACCUGUGCAUAACAUAAAGAUCCAAACACUUUUAAAUGUUUUACUCCAGGCUUUCUUCCACUGUAAGCUUCAAAUGGAGUCUUCUUAUUCAAGACCUUGGUAGGACAUCUAUUGAGAAUGUAGACUGCAGUAUUCACUGCUUCUGCCCAAAAUUCAAAUGGAAUCCCUUUCUCCAACAUCAUGCAUUUAGCCAUUUCUACAAUGGUCCUAUUUCUUCUCUCAGCAACACCAUUCUGUUGAGGAGAAUAGGCCACUGUAAGUUGUCUUUCUAGACCAAGAUUUUCACAAUAUUGAGAGAGAAUUCCAGAGAAGUAUACUCCCCUCCCCUGUCACUCCUUAAUUUCUUCACUUUGAAUCCACUUUGUAGUUCAACAGUUGCCUUGAACCUCUUAAAUAUGCCAAAUGCAUCAGAUUUGUUUCUCAGAAAAUAGACCCAUCCCAUUCUGGUACAAUCAUCUGUGAAAGUGAUGAAAUACUUGUUUCCAGCUUUGGUAAGUGUUUGCAUUGGUCCACAUAUAUCAGUAUGUAUUAACUCCAAUGGUAGUGCAGCUCUCCAGUUUGUUUCUUUAGGAAAAGCAUCUCUAGAAUGCUUUCCAAUAGCACAUCCCUCACAUACUGUGGAAUUCACUCUGAGCUCAGGUAAACCAGUCACCAUGUCAUGCUCUUGAAGUUGCAUGAGAGCCUUCAUAUUUAGAUGCCCGAGUCUUCUAUGCCAUAUCUCAGCAGCUUGUUUAACACCUGCCCUCAUAGCCAUUUGUAUUCCUGGUUGCAACUUCAAAGGAAAGCUUCGAUUUCCCUUCAUAGGAAUUUUAACAACCAGAUUAGAGCAUGUAAAAUCUUCAUAAAUUCUGACUUCAAUUCCCCCAAACACAAGGUAAUAUCCAUGCUCCAUCAUUUGUCCCACACUCAAUAGAUUCUCCUUUAAACCAGGUACUAACAUGAUCUCCUUGAUGUACCGUUUGCCUUGCUUAGUUGCAACCAUUAACUCUCCUUUUCCAACUACAUUAACCAACUCCCCUGUGCCCAUCUCAACUUUGGCAGUAACACUUCUAUCAAUGUUCUCCAGUAAAUCUUCUCUUCCUGUCAUGUGAUUACUGCAGCCACUAUCAACAUACCAAACAUCUUCUCCCUUCUUCACUGCAGCAGCCAUACACACAUAGAACAUAGUUGGAUUGUUCUCCACUUGUUUGACAUAAUUUGCCUAUUGAGUAACCUUCUUUGACCUGCAAUCCUUAACAAAAUGCCCUGGCUUAUCAUAGUUAUGGCACCUUGGUUUUCCCUUGAACCAACACUCUCCAAAAUGAAGUUUAUCACAGUACUUACAUGCAUUCUUGACAUUAUCAGAAGACCCAGUAAAUUUUCCUUGAUGGUGCACAGAUUUGUUAUCCCAUUUCUUACUCUUUGUCUGCCAGUUCUUUGUGGGUUUAAAACUCUGAUUGCCAUUGUAAUUGUUCUUCCUGGGAGCUAUACUUAAACUAGCAAAUGCCUUUUCAUUUCUAUCUUCAGAAUGUCUAUCAAUUCGUUGUUCAUACCCCUUUAGGGUAGCAACAACAUCCUGCACAUCAACACUCUCCAGAUCCCUAGUGUUUUCUAUCACAGCAACAAUACUAUCAUAAGACUUAGGCAAACUUAUCAAUAGCUUCUGCACAAUUCUUUGAUUUCCUAUAUCUUCACCAUAACUUUUCAUUUGUGACAUAAGAUCAAAUAAUCGCACAACAUACACAGAGAAUGCUUCAUUUUCACCCAUACGAGUGUAUUCAAAAUCUCGCCUUAAACUUUGGAGUUUCACAGAUCUCACCUGUUUAUCCCCAAUAAAUUCUUGCUUCAGUGCAUCCCAAGCCUCCUUUGCCGUCUCCAGUAUGGCGAUUCGUGGGAAAAUUUCAUCGGACACAGAACCUUGAAUAAUCCCGAGAGCCUUAGCAUCCUUGAUCAUGUUCUCCCUUUAGCUGCUUUAGUUCAGCGGCAUUGAGUUCUUCAUCUUCUUUCUUCACCGGAGGUUUAUACCCCGUUUCAACCAUAUCCCACACAGAUCGUGAAAUCUGAAAAUAGUCUUCAUCUUUAUCUGCCAGAAAUCAAAGUUUUCCCCAUUGAAAAUCGGUGCUCGAAGAUCAGCACCACUCGAUCCAGCCAUAUUAGACUUGUUAUCGAGUUACCCAGUGAUUUUUCAGAUUGAUCUUCAAUCGCAGCAAACUCGAUUCUCUGUCGAGUUCCUUAGCUGCAACCCUUGUCACAGAUUCACGCCCAGAUUGAGAUCCAACCUGGCUCUGAGGCCAUAUUAGAGUUUGAUUUCGGGUAGAUUCAAUGGAACAGUAAAAUGCACACACAGAGAGCAGAGCUUUCUUCAAAGGUUUCAGUGUAUUCGACUUGUUCACCAAACAAAGAGCUCAAAGAGCAUGUUUUAACGUUGGAGGAGUGAGAAACAAUUUCACCCUCUCACAACAUUACAAAUCCAUCACAACCAUUCAUUUCAAAGUCAUCAUAUAAGAUGCUUGCACAUGUCAUGAGCUAUGACUCAUUCUAAUCCAAUCUAAUCUAAAUACCAAUUGGAAUAUGAUCCAAAGGUUUACAUUAGAUCCUACACUUUGUUUAUAAUGAAACUACCACAGCAAAUACAUUUAUACUUCAAUACCGCGUGCUUUUAUUUUUUUAUGAGAUAAGUGCCAAUCAAAAUUAAAAAAUCAAGUAUGAGCAGGACAUUUUUACUUUUUGGAGAAACAAAAAGAAAUUUAUUUUAGAACUUUUAAGCCUGGUGGGAUAGAUAGCUGAUGAGAGAGAGAAAGUAGUGUGGGAAAAUAGAAUCAGUUGAAUGGUCAUACCCUUGUGGUGUAUUCUUUUUAUUAUCGUGGACUGAUUAUCUUACGUGAUUUAUAUGCAGGAGAAAAAAAUGGAGCUACACAGGGCAGUGAUGGAGCAAGAAGGUGAUGCUGAUGCGCACUUCAGGUACCUUUGCACAAUCUUGCUGUUUAAAAAAUACCUUUGCUCAACUUGUUUAAGACCAUUUCCAGCUGAUUCAAGAUCGUGUUGAUCACAUCCAAUUAGAUCUUGAUGGGCUUGUCAAAACUCUCAAUGAGCACUGCAAGAAGUAUGAACUACGCAGAAAGCCUACAACGUUAACUGAGCUGCCCUUUUGUACGUUGAUCUCUUUCCUUAGCUAAUUUCUUGGGAGUCUAAGAAUCUUAUAAAUAACGAUAAGAAUACUUCUAUUAGCUUAUUCUUUAUCAAAAUAUCUGAUGGAUUGUACAUAGAACACAAUGUUGUGGUAAAUGGAUCAUAUUGUCUGCUUUUUGUAGUUUCUUUGUCAUCUAGUUGUGGUUUGCUAACCUGUUUAGGAGUUUUAACUGUUCGAGGUGACUGAUUCAGAAGUUGAAUUGUCAGGAUUCACUUUUGUCAAGGAGCUCACUCUUGACGUGUCAAAUGUCUUGGCACCUCCAAAACAGAAAUAAUCAUCAGUUCAGAAAGAAAAAGCUCCCCCAGUUGAGAGUCCAACAACUGCUUCUUCACUAGCCUCAAAGUACGGAUGCCAAGGUUGUUGAAAAUGGAGCAGCAUAUGAUAAAAAUGAGGAUGAGUCAGCAAAAAGUGCUCCGAACAGUCCAUUUGCCAGCAGUACCGUUGGAAGCCCAUCUAGAGAAUUUUCAGAUUCUAACUAUGGAAAGACAACAGACGCAGAUCCCUCACCCCGUAAUAAGGAAUCUCAAAGGUAUGGUUCUAGAUCUGUAGUUUUCUACAUAUUUAAGGUCACCCUGAUACGUGCAAAAUUGUUGAUCAUGCGGGUGCUGGGUCUAUGUUUUCUGGCGACAAAGGUUCUGAUGAACCAGCAUGGGGGACAUUUGACACUAAUGAUGACGUUGACUCGUUGUGGGGUUUCAAUGCAGUUAGUACCACCAAGGUAAGCCAAUAUUGUACAUUCAAAAAUUUUAUUUAUUUAUUUUAGAGUGCAUUCAGUAUUUAUUUAUUAGAACUCAAUUCUUUGACCUUGUGUUUAUACUGACCGGACCUUGCUUCAUGAUUGCUGUUAAUACCACCUAGUUGUUUGUGGUGGUGACCACUUAUCCUUGUUUAAGAGUUGCCUCAAGUGUCCUAAUGCUUGCUGAGUUGUUUAGUUAUUAACGAUGGUUCUGGGAAUUUUAACAUUAUUUGAAUAGUUUCUAUCUUCACCAUUCUGAUGGUUUCAUGUAAAUCAGUUAUGGUUCACUGUAUGGCGAAACCGAGUUUCCGAGUUUCCUGUCUUUCAACCAAGUAUGGCGAAACCGAGUUUCCUGAUUUCAGUUUUGGUUCACCGGAUAUAAAAAGAAGGGGUUGCGGGAUUGUUCUUGGUGCAAUUAAUUGCACAUUGAAGGGGACUCUGAUUUAAGCCUUAGGUCUUGGUUAAUCUUAGUCAAGAUCAUUUUUGUGUUGACAACUUGACAUUGACAAGAGAUGGUGCCAUUAAUGUAUUAAUGUAUUAAUCAUUGUUAAAGAAUGGUGACUGGAAAAAGGAAAGUUAAAUUUCAAGUUAAAAAACUAGCAUUCAUUGUCAUGUUAGAAACAGUUACUGUUAACAGUUUGUAGCCGAUGGAAAGUUUCCAUUAUUUUGCACCUUCCAAGUAGGCAUGGAUUCUAGGUUCCAGUGAAUCCACUUUCUUUUAUAAUAGCAUGUCGGUUACGUAGCACUUUCAAGCUUUUAGUUUUUGCGGUUUUAUAUUUUUUAUUAUUGCUGGCAUGCAGGAUUUUGCUGUUAAUUGCUCUUAAUCAUGUGGGAUGUAGGAUAUGGAUCAGGAGAGUAAUAAGGAUCACUACUUUUCUGGCCCUGGGGAGUUCGGCCUCAACCCUAUCAGGACUGGGUCAUCACAAGGAGGUGGCUUUUCCCAGAAGAGCUACCCUUUUACUUUCGACGUUUCUGUUCCUAGCACACCACUCUCAUCCUUCAAUUUGGGGUAUUCACCGCCAAGGUACAAGGAUAGCUCAGAACCUUCAUUUGACACCUUCUCUAGGUUUGAUUAGUUCACAAGCACACAAGAUACUGGAUUUUUCCCUCAACCAGAAACACUCGGAAGAUUUGAUUCUAUGCGCAGCAGUCGAGAUUUUGAUCAGGGUAAUGGUUUUCCAACAUUUGAUGACAUCCCAGACCCUUUUGGCUCUUCGGCGCCAUUUAGGUCAUUGCUGGACAGUCAAACUCCAAGAAGAGACUCAGACCCCUUCGGAUCUUCAGGUCCAUUUCGGACGUCACUGGACAGUCGAACUCCAAGAAGAGAAUCAGAUUUUUUCAGGUCUUCAGCAGCGCCAUGUAGGACAUCAUUGACAGUCAAACUUCAAGAGGAGACUCGGACGCAUUUGGAUCCUCUCCAUUUAGGACAUCAUUCAACGGUCAAACUCCAAGAAGAGACUCGGACCCAUUUGGGUCUUCAGGGCCUUUCCGGACGUCAUUGGAGACUCCGAGAAAAGACUGAUCAUUGGAGUGCAUUUUAGCCAGGUAGUUGCUCUUCUUCGUUUUUCUGUCUGCUAUUCUCGUUGUUCCAAGCCUUUCUAUCGUGAGUGUUAUGGGCCGUGGCCAUGUUUUAUGCUUUGAAAUCACUGUGCUUGUAAUGUGUCUUUUGUAUUUCAUUUCUUUGUGUAUGCAUCUCGCUUUGUCUUCAUCCUUUUUUUUUCCUUUAGCUUAUAAUUUUUCUCCGUAAUUUCGGAAUGUUCCUAGUCCUAUUGAAGCGAAGACCCCUAUAGUUUUAUCGCUGUUACAAAUUUGAUGAUUGUAUUAUCAAACUGGGGCUGUGCCUUUCUUUUUUCGACCUUAAUUUGCUGUAAUAUUUUACCCCCAUAAUAAAAUUUGUUCUGCUGAUCUUUCUUUUGUUCAAACAAGAACACUGUUUUGCCGGUGUUAGUCCAAUUGGGCCAUUCAUGAUGCCGCUGGAUUUGAUCAAAGAUAACAAACAUAAUAUUACACACUUGUCUAUAUAAGAGCCUUGCCUGUUUGUCAGUCUUAUUUCUUGGACGGACAAGUGAGUGCUGUCCUUGAACUUGCCUGUGUCUUCAGCGCUGUGCAGCCUUGAGCUCAAACAUGACAUAGCACUGGGAGCUCUGGCAAAGAUUGAAGUUGCUUGCAGCCGACUAAGUUGAGUUCAGACAACCGAGAAGCUCAUUUGAUGCUUGCAGGUAUGCUCCUGAUCUUGGUUCCAGACAGAUGUAUGCUUGUCAAUGAGGUUGAGCAAACGAGACCAUCAGGGAUUUCCAACAUACCGCUGCUGCUGAGAUCUAGUUCUUCUAAAGAGAGAAAACCGGCAUAGGUGAAAGGCAAAUUUUCAAGUUCCCGACAUCCAUACAAGUCGAGACGUUUAAGAUUGGUUAAACGGUAGAUACUUGUUGGGACUACCUUAAGGUGCUUGCAGUCACUAAGGUCUAAAGUUUGAAGCCCAAUUAGAUUUCCAAAUGACGAAGGAAGCUUUUGUACAGCUGUCCUUUGCAAAUUAAGAGACACCAAAUGUUCUAUUGGCUCCAAGAUCUCUGGGAAAUGUUCAAGUUCAGAGCACCCAAAGAGAUUGAGUUCCUUGAGAUAUUUCAACUUCCAAAUGUAGAUUGGUAGACUCACAAGACUGCUGCAACGAACCAAUGAUAAUUUAGUUGUAUCCCUCGGAAGCUCAGAAAACUCGCAAAGAGAUAUGCAACCAUAUCGAUCAAAACAACCAGAGACUUUCAACUUACAACUGUUGCUUGGAAGUUUCUCAAGGUAAAGAGCAAAAACGUAUAUUCAAGUAAGAAAUGUUUUUGUUAGACCACACUGAUUCAGGCAAUUCUUUUAUACCAGCGUAAUGUAAAUCCAAGUAUUUAAUAUUUCCUAGCAUCUCUGGAAGAUACUUGAGGUUGGUGCAGCCUUUAAGAUCAAGAUGAGUAAGCUUGUCAAGAUGUUGAAAACACUCAGGAAUUUCAACCAAAAUUUCACAGCCACAGAGAUUUAUUUUCACAAUUUUUAGACUUCGAGAGAGAUUUGGAACUUCAGUUAGAUAUCUGGAGUAAUGCAGAUCGAUCACUUGUAAGUUCACAAGUCUUUGUAUCAAGAGUAAAUAGGAGUUAAUAUAACUUCUACACUUGAUUUUAUACAAGAAUUAAAAUAGGCAUAUAAUAUAAUAUACCUUGUCUUUUUUCCAAAGCUUCUGAACUAGGCUAAAUGGCAUAUGAAGCUCAACUAGAUUUUUCGGAGAAAAUUUUGACGGUAAAGAUUCCAGUGGAUAUUCAUCCCAGUAAAGAUAACGAAGAGCAUCGGGAAGGUCUAGAGAAGCGUGGAAUUUGGAGCCACCAUUCACAAUUAGCAAUCUUAGGUUAGACAUCACCUUGAAGUCUACACGUUUCAAUGGUCGCUCUACAAUGUUAUGCCAAUUAAGGAAUAUGGCUUCAAUAUUUCCUGACAAUAAGAAGAAAGUUUAAAUGUGAAUAUAUGUACAUGUUUUCAACAUGUUAAAAUGUAAUGCGCACUUGGAAAAAGAAUUCUACAACGUUACAUAAUAAUUUAGUAUUUGCGAUGGUAAUGAUGUACAAGUUUCUAGUAAAAUAUCCAACAUAAUUGUAUCCUCCUCUACUUGUCUUAAAAAACAAACAUUUGUUCCUAUUCCAAAGACUUCCGAACACAAUAAAAAUUCAAUCAAAUUAAUUUUUUUUUUUUAAGAAUCUGACUUUUUUUAUUAUAAAUGCAAAAAUGCUACUCUUACCAUCUAAUUAUACCGUCAAUUGUACAAUCUCUAUUAAUCUCUAAUAAAGAUGAGACUCAUAUGUGUUUUCUCUACAAAAAGAAAAGAAAAAAAAUUGAGUGCAUUUGACUCUUACUGUGUUACUUUUCAAUACAUGAUAAACAUCCUUAUCGUUGAACAACCUACUCCACUUACUGGGAUCUUCAAUACAUUGUUCCUGAACAAUUGUCCUUCCCAUUUCUUCAAGUAGAUCAUGCAUCUCGAUGGUUUCCCGUCCCCAUCUUGAAUCAAUUGAUAUGAGAGACAUGUCAAUGAGAAUUCUAAUUCCAACCGUCACAAAGAAUCCACGAACAUCUAACAAUUGCUUUACCUCCUCCACAUCAUACCCUUCAUGAAAACAUGCUAUAUCCAAAAAUAUCUCCUUCUCAUUUCUUCCCAAUCCAUCAUAACUUAGUCUCAACACUCUCUGGAUAUUUUCAUUGGGAAAUUGUUUCAAUUUGUCCAAUUCAUCUUCCAAGUCUUCUUUGCUCUUGCAAUUUAGGAAUGAGGACCCCAGAAGUAUAAGAGCUAAAGGAAUGCCUCCGGCAUAAUGCAUCGCCUUUUCUGCCAACCCCUUAUAAUCUGUUAUAUGAGUAUUCUUGAAAGCACGCGAACAAAAGAGCUGAAGAGCGUCAUCCGGUUUUAAUCUCCCAACCUCAUAGAUUUUAUCCUCUUCAACAGUUUGCCUAAGUGUGCCCCUAUUUCUACUUGUGAUGAUGAUUCUACUUCCAUUGCCAAACGGAAGACGAUUGCCAGAUAAACCUUCAAUUUGCAUUGAAUCACUGACAUCAUCAAGAACAAUGAGGACCUUUGUACGGCUAAGCCUAUCUCGAACAAAAAUUGAUCCUAUGGAUAGAUCUUCUUCCUUUGAUAUCUGACUGAGAAGUGUAUUUUGUAAGUGUUCUAGCCCAUCUUUUUGUUCUUUCUCCCUAACAUUUCUUAGAAAACAACAAGCUUCGAAUUUAGAAGAGAGUUUGUUAAAUACGGCUUCAGCAAGGGUGGUCUUGCCAAUACCACCCAUUCCCCAAAUACCAACACUGAUGCAAGCAUCCUGUGAAUGAAUGCCUAAUAGCGAUUCAAUUUGCUCGAUGUGACUUUCAAUUCCAACCAGGCCCUCUAAAACACAUGAUGAUUCACAAAUCAAUUUGGUCCAAAUAUGAUCUACAACAUUCCUAAUUAGAUCUGCCUCCGUCCUGGCAUAUAUAUGUAUGAUUAUGUAGAAAAAGCAAUAGUUAGUCCUAAAUAUGCUUUACCAAAUCUUAGCACAAAUCAAACUGUGACAAGUUUAAAGAAAAUUUAUAACUUUAGACAAGUUAAAGAAUGAGUUAGUUACCCGAAUUUGUUUGAAUAAUCAAACCCAGAUAGAUUGGCUGCAGUCUUCAAAGCACCCCUCCACUUGUGCACCUUGUCAAUACUGUUAUCGAAACGUUUUUCAAGUUGUCCAAAUGCAUCCGCAUAACUCUCGUAUUGAUUCCGUACAUCAGAUGGAUUGACGUCGUAUAAUACCGGUACGACCAUGUGGCCAUAUAUUUCCUUGCAUUUGAGUAUAUGCACAAGCUCAUCCAAACACCAUGUGGAUGAAGCAUAGUUUUGUGAGAAAAUGAUCACCGAAAUCGUGGAUUUCUCGAUUGCUUCUAGAAGGGCAGGUCCGAUUUCUUCGCCUCUCUGAAGUCUAUUAUCGAUGUAGGUUUCAAUUUUCUUCUGAAGUAAGGCAGCAUGAAGAUGGCUGGUAAUACCAAGGCGGGUGUCCUCACCUCUGAAGCUGAUAAACACAUCAUACUUUUCUAGUCGUGGGGGGAUAUCAGCAUCCUCAUCAACAACAGUAGUAGAACCAGCUACAACAGAAUCAACCGCAAAAGAAAAUGUUAAUAAUCUGCAGCUGAGACUACAAUUGCACCUGAGACUAAAUCAGAGUUUAUUAUAGAAAAAUUGAAAUUGAGAUUGUAGUCCUUAGUUAUAAAUGCUCCAGGUAGAGACAAGGAUUAGUCACUUCUACAUAGUUAAAAAAAAAUAUUUGAUAAUGGUGGUUAAAAAUUAUUGGCUUUUAUUCAAAAUGGUCCAUGAGAUUUGCAUCAUCCAUAAGUUUGGUUUCUAAGAUUUAAAAUCAAUAGAAGUAGCCCUGAGAUUGUCUACCAUCCAUGAUUUUGGUCAUUCUGCUGAAGCUUUUGGCCGGAAGUUUGGGCAAUUUUCAAAUCUUCGUAACUCAAUCGUUUCUUAACCAAAUUCGACCCAUAAUAUAUCAAAAUGAAGAUAGGAAAGUGUAGAAUAAGAUUAUAUCUAUUUGGAAGAGCAAUAAUUGCCGGAGAUGGUCAGAAAAUAGCCUAAAAGUUGACUGGUCUGAGGGAAAACUAGAAAACUUGCCGGAAACUCGCCGAAAACUGGGUAAAUUUUAAACGUUCAUAACUUCUUCAAUACUCAUCAAAAUCAUGUGAUUCAAAAACAAAAAUCAUACUUCUCAACGAGAAUAAGAGAAUGGUACCUUUUUCAAAGGCUAACUCGCCGUGGUUUGGCCGGAAAAUGGCUCGAAAGUGGCUGUUGAAAAACGAGUCAGCAACUUUCGAGCCAUUUUCGGCCAAACCACGGCAAUUUAGCCAUUGAAAAAUGUACCAUUCUCUUCUUCUCAUCAAGAAGUAUGAUUUUUGUUUUUGAAUUACUUAAUUUCGUUGAGUAUUGAAGAAGUUGUGAAUGUUUAAAGUUUACCCAGUUUCCGGCAAGUUUUUCAGUUUUCUCUCUGACCAGUCAAUUUUGAGGCUAUAUUCCGACCAUCUUCGGCAACUGUUGGGCUUACAAAUGAUAUAAUCUUAUUCUAUACUUUCCUAUCUUCAUUUUGAUAUAUUACGGGUCAAAUUUGGUUAAGAAACGAUUGAGUUACGAAGCUUUGAAAAUUGCCCAAACUUCCGGCCAAAAGCUUCAGUGGAAGGACCAAAAUCAUGGAUGGUGGACAAUCUCAGGGACCACUUCUAUUGAUUUUAAAUCUCAGGGACCAAACUUAUGGAUAAUGCAAAUCUUGUGGACCAUUUUGAAUAAAAAGCCAAAAAUAUUUGAUAAUCGUAGCGGCAAGCACACAGUAGCCAAUAGGCCCUCCUUCCCGGCUUUGCACGCUUUAUUUACAAAUUUAACUUUGUUCCUCCAUCCACUGAUUUCAUCUUUGACCAGCAGAGCAUCCAAAGCAAUUUAAUCUUAACAAGGACUAACCAACACCCGACACAUCAAUGUAGCAUCUAGGUGACGCAUUUACUGGUGCAUUAUUAGUUUGUGAUGUCAGAGUGAAAAUUUCGGGUGCAAUUGAAUAUAAAACCAUCUAAAGCGUUUGAAUUUUUAAGCCAACAAGACCGAAACCUUGAAAUAGGGAAAGCCCACCUCCAAACCGGUUUUGGUCGAGUCUGAUUUUGAAAAGCAAGGUCCUUCCCAUUCAAUACUUUAUUUCAGGAGUAGAGUGAGGGGGGGUGGGGUGGGGGAGGGGAGGCUGGCAAUGUGAGGAGAGGGGAAUUAGAUAUCAGACCUCUGUCUUGUAAUUCUUGUUUAUGUAAUUGAUGGUUAAUGAUAGAUGUUGUUAGAUUAGUCACCGACAGAGUUUGAACUCACGUUAUCAUGUAAAGAAUUAACACAUUUCCACAACUGUGGUAAAAGACCACUUUCUAUUGAGUAUUCUAAGUGCUCACUUUUUAAUUUUGUCCAAUGAAAAAAUGUGAUGUGUUCCUUUUUUUUCAAAGUUCAAGAAAAAUUUAAUAACAUGUCUAUUAUUUUUUAAAACAAUAAAAUAUGUGCUAAAAAUUUAAAUAUCAUUAGACAAAAUCAAAAAGGUGAGUGAGUUUAGUGAGUGCCCAGAUAUUAUUCUUACACAAAUAUUGUCCUAAUUAAUUGUAUUUUGUUUACACAGUUUCCUAAAUAUGUUACAAAUUGCAUAUACAAUGACUACAUGUUCAUUAAAAUCCCUAGAGGAUCAUCGUUGUGAUUACAACUUGUUCAAGAAAAGUUCAUGGAAGGUAGAAAAUGGAGCACAUGAAAGUAGAAAGAUAUUCAUAUGUUUGCAAUCUCAACAUGUAAAACUACUGGUAUUUGAAAACCAUAAAAUGAUAUAAGUACAAACUUUUUCUCCUUGCUUUGCUCCCCUCACAAUCAGUAUCAUCUUGGUCACCUGAUCGAUUCCUGCAAGUGAAGUUUUGGUUAUCUUUCGUACAGUCAAUAAACAUAAAUCAGAUUAUGCAUACCAAAAAUCAGUACACAAAAAGGAGGAGCCCUAUGUGAAAAAGGAUGCAAAAAAUCAACUGGAGACCUCUUUCUUCUGUUCUUUUUCCAUUUGCCCUCUCUCUCUCUCUCUUUCAAUCUUUUGUGUUGAAGCUUUUCGGAAAAUCUGUUAAGAGAGCCGUUUAAUCGAAACUUCAAAAGGAAGACAAUGGAUCAAGAUGCAAACAAAACAAAGUGAUAUCAGGUGGCAGGUCACCAGCGAAGAAAUUAACAGCAGACAUAACAAAAAUUAAUUAGCAAAUUAAAUGUCAGCAUAACAUAACACCUAAACUUAUGCGGUAAGAUAUGACAAAAAAUACAGAAAGAGCCUACAACGGUAUCAAUAAACACUGACUAACCUCUGACAAGUUACCAAUUUGACAAGGGCUUGUUUGUUUUCUCCAGCUUCAAACUAAGAAAGGUUCACCUUCAAAGUAAUAUCCAAAACAAUUAAGAUGCAAAAACUUUUUAAGUGAUGUAAAUAUAGAUAAACAGAAAAUGAAAAUACAUAUUCCACAAAAAAUAAAAUAAAAUAAGAUGAAAAAACUUUAUAAGUGAUGUAAGCUUGUUCUUGAAUGAAGGAGCUUAAACUUGAAUUUGCUUAAUUACCCUCCCAAACAUAUAUAUAUGUAAGCUUAAUUCACUAGACCAGUGUUAUUAAGAUUGAAAAAAACUAGGAUAAGGUUUAAUUAAUGCAUAAGGCAAUACUAACCACAAAUCAGUAAUCCAUAAACUCAUAAAGGUUAGCACAAAAAAUAUAUAGCUGAAUUGAAGAUUAAGUGAAAAAUAUAUAAUUAAAGAAAAUACUGAAAACUUGGAACGUUUGUAGGACUUCGAACAUUUACCAAGAAUUUGAAAAGACGUGGAAGACUUUUUUUUUUCCAAGUGUUGAAAACAAGGAGCUUGCUGCACCAAUUAAUAACCAUGCAUGUAGAAAACCAUAAUUAAGAUAAUAAUUAUGCAGAAGAAGAAGAUAUGGAGGAAAGCGUGCUUUCUCUCUCUCUCUCUCUCUCUCUCUCUCUCUCUCUCUCUCUCCCUGUCCCUGUCCCUCUAUAUCAGUUUCUCUCUUUUAAGUUUGGAGCUUGAGAGUUUUGGAUAACAAGGAGAGGAAGAAGAACUAUGGAAGAUAAUGGGGAAAUGGAGGAGGAAAAAAGGUGGAGAAGGAAAUAUAAAAGAUAAUAGAGCGAGAUGGGUGUGCUAAGGAAGGAAGGGCGGAGAUUAAACAGUCGGAAGAAUGUAUUUGGCAUCUUAUGCCAGUUUUCCGGCUUAUACCGAGGCUUAAAUGCAAAAGAAAAAUAAAACCUUUUCUGUUGUAAAGAUGGCUGGCCAAGUUGUCCACUAAAGCAUGUCCUCACAUUAAAGCAUGAUUCCUUUGAGUGGAAUGUUAGGUGUGGAAAUUAGGCUCCACUAAGAACAAUUUCCUUCCACUAAAUGUUGCCGAUGCUUUGCUUUCAUUGCUCCUAGUUUUCAUAUAAAUAUAUAGACAUACAGCUGAGAAGAAAAAAAAGGAAGAAGAGAGGAAGAAGUGAGAAGCCACAAGGCUCACGGCAGAGAGAGAGAGGGAAGAGAGAGGAGAGUUAUCCUUGUAAUCUUAUUACUUCAGAUUAUAAAUAAAAGCAUCACUGCUGUCUCGAUGAUGUACUCCAGUCACACUAACUGUAGAGGAACCUCGUAAAUUUUGUGUUUUGUUUAUUCCACUGCACAUACCGUCGAUUUUACAACAUUUUCCCCAUUUAAGAAAGAAGUUUGGAACACGGGAGUGAGGGAUGGGGCCUACGUUAACGCGACACGGUUUUGAAUUUUUUUAGUUAGUUAGUUAGUGAUAAUUUCUUUCGAGAAAUUUUCAAACACUUUCAAUUGAGUAUAUUCUAUAAAAUUCUAAGAAAAACUAGUGAAUUUAACUCUACAAAAUCAUGGAGGGCUAGGAAUACAGUCAUUCACUACUAGAAGUUGCCUACGAUUUGGAAUCAGUUUUUUCAAGGCUAUUAGGAGAUCAUAAAAGAGUGCAAAACUUAGCCUGAAAGUAAUCGAGAAAAAUAAAUGGUGAAUUGCCCUUAUAGUUAGGUUAAGGGCACCAUCUCUCUGUCUAUCAAUCUAGGCACUAAACUAAGCAAGAGACAGAUAGAGGUAGAAGUUGGGAAGCAAGGGAGGAGGGAGGUAAAAUUGGGAAGUGAGGGAGGAGAGAGUAGUUGCCUAGAUCAGGAUUUUUUAUUUAUUUUUUUGUGGAGACAGAUUUGGCAAAAUUAGUUCUUUGUCAACAGUCGUGUGCAAGACACCAACCCUCUUUUAAAAGAAAAAAAAGGACCAUUGCAUCUAAAAACCCCUCAUCCGUCCCUUUCUGUAAAAUUUUAUUAAUAAUAUGAAGAAAAAAAGAGAUAUGAAAUUACCUAGCUCAAGCACCUUACCUUCCCGAAUAAAAAUUCAAUGUGUUCUCAUAUAUCAAGAAAGACAAAAUAAGGGAACAUCAACAUCAAUUCAUAACUUUUAUUAAUCACAACUCACAAGUCAUCAUUUACGCAUUUUACGCACAAAUUUCUUUGAACUUCUUUUUUCCACUAGUUUAAGUUUUGAUCAGCAGACCAUCUAAUUAAAUUUAGUCUUGACAAAGACAACUAAUCCACACCCUGUGGGUUGUAGUAGCACCUUGGUUACGUGCUUAUUCAUUCAUUUUAGUUUAAGAUGUCACAGUAGCAUACCAAAUAUACACAGCUCUUCAAUUAAAGAUAAAAGCAAACAAACAUUUUAAAAUGAACUAGCGAACCUUGAGAUAGAAAAUGCCCACCUCCCAAAUUGGCUUCGGUGACUAGAGUCUAGAGUUUAGUCUCAUUACGAGAAAAACAAGUGAUGGAUUGUUCUUAUGGUUAGUAUAUAGAUUAGUGUAAAAUAUCUUUUGUACGCAGUGUUUUAAAAAACUUGUCCCAAGGCGCGCCUAGGCGGCUUUGGAGCCGAGGCUGAAGAAAAUUCACCUUUGUUUUGUGAGUAGGCAAAAAAUCACUUAUGGGAGUAGGCCUUAUGCGCUUUAAGUACAAACAAGCAAUUGAGCUCGCGCCACACUAUGAGUUUUAAAACUUUGUUAAAUGUGUGGGAUAUGUUAAAAUUUAUUUAUUGUUGGAAAUGUGCCCUAAAACCAAUCAUAUGAUGAUACUUUACGGACAUUUCACAUAUUAAACUAAUAUAGUUUAAUAUAAAGGGCAAAGAUUAUUGUUUGAAGCCGUCUCAUAUAAAUGUUAUACGCUUAAACGAUAAGUCCAAGGAAUAUGUAAUUGGGAGAAUGCAAUCUAAAGAAGUUAGAUUCAUGAGAUUAUUUUCUUUCGUAUACAUAUCCUAAAUGUUCCUGAUCAUAGGAUUGCCAAUUGGGCAUUGACAGUCCGUUAAGAUCAGUACGUGCUAUGUCUUCUCUUAGGAAGAGUGACUGGUCUCGAGUCAUUGGUGUGACUGAUACCAAGACAAGUACGUAGGUGCUCAAUAGAGAAUGAGUUCACUGAACGCGAUCAACAAGAAGUUCUCAUACUCAUGUCACAUGAGAACUUAUGGUUGGGAUAAUGCAAAGUAGUCAUUUGACCUGAGGCAUCAUAGUUGUCUUGUGGUUAGGUCCUUGAUCUUUGAUUAUGUCAAAGUCACUCCAUCCGAGGGUGUCCACGACAUAGUUGGGGUUAAGCCACUUAGCCAUAGAGGCAAGUGAAUGCGCAACAAGGGAUCUCUAACCUUCAAACCGUUUGAGGGAGAAUACUCUAUGAUAUGAUUAAGAAUCUCUGGCCAGAGUAUGAAUGAGAUUUAGGAAGUCGUUCCAAAUCACAUUCAAGGUAAUCAUAUAAGUAAAUGAAUCACAUUGGAUAGUAGACAUGAAUAAACUAUCAAACCAAACAAUGUGGUCAAGAGUAUUAUAUUAGAGAAAUACCGUAUUGCAUUGUAAUCCUAAACUGAAUAGGUUCUCCACCUCCUCUGAUUAGCUUGGGUAACCAUGACAUACUGCUAGGUGUCACUCAUGGUUUGUGGAAGACCUAAAAGUGUAUAAUCACUAAAGGGAUAAUUGAAAGUAAGUUUCAAUUCGCAAUCGAUUUGAAAGAGUUUUAAUCGCUCACUGCCUCGCUAAAAGGAACCUAAUGAAUCGCACACUGUGUAAGGUAAUGCUUGAAGGAUUUGACGGAGAUGAGUAAGGACAAUUAAAUGGUUUAAUUGUUUAUGGCAAGAAUUAAUUAAUAUGUUAAUUAAUCAAACGAAUAAGUUCGUUUUAAACCUUGAGUUAGUUUUGGGCCUUAAAGCCCAAAUUGGGCUUCAAAUCGUCAAGCCCAUUAGCUUAAGUUGUAUGACAACUUAACAAAUAAAAUUUAAGAAGCCCAAAACAGCCCAAAGGCUUGGAAAAAUGGGCCAUAGAGAGAGGAAGGGCCUUUUGGUCCAAAAUGCAUACAAAAGUUGAAAGCAUAGAAAAGGUAUCUUUGCUCCAUCCUCAUUAGGGUUUUCUAAGGAUGAAAAGUGAGAAAAACUCUCUCUCUUUUCUCUCUAGAAUAGCCGGCCACCAUGGGAGAGUUUACUAGCAUCUAACUCUUCCAUGGCUACUCAUCUUCUUCCUCAACCAUCCUUGGUGUCGGAACUUAGAGGUCUCCAACUUUGGGGACUUUUGGAGAAACCAAUUCUUCCAUCCAUAUCCAAGAAGGCAUGGAGCCAAGAAGCAAAGUUCCUCCAUCCACAUCCAUGGAGCCAAGGAGUAAGGUGACAAAGGAAAGAAGGCCCUCACAUGGGUGAUUAACCUUUGCUAAGCAAAGAGGUGCUUCAAAGGUAUAAAGUUUUUCAACUCACUUUGUUUUGAGUUGAGUCUUGGUUCACCCUUCUACUAGGCUUUGAAUUUCAUGGGUAAUGUUUUGUUUUUGAGUGCAUACAAGCAUGAUUCCGCCUUUAAAUGAUAAUUGCAUGCCAUAGAUGUUGCUCAAAUGAACAUGUUUUUCACAAAUUUUCCUUCAUUUACCCUCUAUUUCAACAUCUAUUUAUAUUCUUAUGAUCAAUAAUGAACAAAUGAUACGUGUUUUGGAACCAUUCAUAUAGUUAUAAUACACAUAAAAGCAUCUUGUUUUCUAUGUCCUAACUUUUCACAUUAUUGUUUAGUACUUCACUCUUCUUUCUUCUUUACUGCCAAAAAGAUGAUUUUCUUAUACCUACAUAAGAUUUUUAGAAAUGGAUCAAAAAUAACAUGCAAUAUAGUACUUCUGCUUUUCGCUUUAUUAUUGAUUUUUAGAAAUGAAUCAAAACUAACAUGCAUAGGAUUUUUUUUAUUCUCGUCAAAGACAAAUUUGAACCAUAUUAUUAUUAGCUCAUUGUGAGACUUAGUCCACCCCUUAUCUUAGUGUAGAUAAUAUUGUUUGUUAAAAAAAAUGAAGAGUGGGAUGAGAUUUACUGAAUGUGGGAAGGUGUUAAGAAAGAGAGACAAUAAAUACGGUAAUGUUAAGAGAGAGAGAGAGAGAGGGCUUCUCAUUCAUGACAUGGAGAAAUUUUUAAUUGUUACCUGAACACGGGUAGUACAUUACGUAUUAUUAUAAAAUAGACGGAAAAUUUUAUUUUUUAAGUUGUUAAAUUUUAGCAUAAAUAUCUCACUAUUUAUAUAAUGACACAUAGUAUAUCAUUCCGUGUUCCAAUUACCUUGAAAAAAUAAGUGACCAAAUAUUACUCCCAAGCGCUUCUCAUUCACGACUUGAGAGGGUUGGUUGGGCAGUAGGAAAAUAAAAGGGAGUAGAAUUUUCUUCCCUCCUAUUAUCAUCCCCUUCCAAGAAUUUUCUUCCCUCCUAUUACCAUCCCCUUCCACCCCUUUCUCUCACAUUUUUCUUUUUAUCUUAUUCUCUAUAUAAAACUUUAAAACAAGAUGUAAACGUGACGUAAUCGUAACCGUUUAAAUAUGAGGAGAUAAAAAGAGAGAGAAUAAAAUGGGAGAGAAUACUUCUUUUGUGAUUUUUUUCGCAAGUAAGGUAUUUUUUUUUUUUUUUUUGAAAACAGUAAGGUACUUUUCUUGACAUGAGGGAACAUUAGCAUCGUCAUCAUCAACAACAGCAGCAGAAUCAACUACAGCAGAAUCAGUUGCAGAAGACGAAGAAGAAAAUGAUAUGCAGCCCAUGUACAACAGAGUCCCGAUGACAUUAACCAUGAAACAAAUCAACUCCAUCCCUCUAUCUCUUAGAUUAGAUAGCAGAAAGAGAAUCUUAAGUCUUAACUACAGUUGCACCUGAAACUAGAUCAAAGUUCACCAUAAAAAAAAAAAAUUGAAAUUGUAGUCCUUAUUGGGUUUGUGCACAAAGUUACAAACGCUCCCAGGAGGACAAAAAUUAAAAAUUUGGAGAGACAAGGCUUAUUCACUUUCACAUACAUAAAAAAUACUACUACUUUAAAAUUUUCUUUUAAAUAUAUGCUUUAAUUAAAAUAAAUAUUUGUCCAAAGCAUUUUCUAUAAGGCAUAUUUCAAUAAAAUAAACACACAAACGACGACUGAGAAAAAUCAUCAGAGAAUAGACCCAAAAAAAAAACAUAAAAAAUGUAAAGGAUGAAAGGAGGAGGAUCUUUCCCCUCCUAUUCCCAUCCCCUUUCCUUCUUUCUUCUCACAUAUUGUUUUUUGUCAUAUUAUUUUUUGGGGUAAAUUACAUAGUAACCCCUCAGAUUUGAGAUCUAUUACAAUCCUAUACAAUAUUUUUAAAACAUUUCACUUUCAUACCUCAUGUACUAUUUUAUUUCAAAAUAAUACACCCGUUACAUUUUCCAUCCAUUGAUCCGUUAAGUACUGACGUGGUUGCCAAAUGUAUGCCACGUGACAAAAAAAAUAAUUUUUUAAUUUUUUUAAAAAAAAAACCUUAAUCUUCUAAAUUAAAAAAACCAAAAAAAAUAAAAAUAAAAACAAAAGUUGAACCCCGCAACCCCCCACCCAACCUGCAACCCAGAAGAAGAAGAGGAGAGAGAAAAAAAACAUCCUCCACCUCUUCCUCCGCACCCACUACCUGCAAACCAGAAAAAAAAAAGAAAAAAAAAACCCAUCUCCCUUUCCCUGCAACUCAGAUCCUGUCUUCCCCAAUGAGUGUGGAUUUAAGACGGAGGGUGGGUGUGCUGGGUUUUUUUUUUCCUCCUUCUUUCUGGGUUGUAGGUGGGGAGCGGAAGAUAGGAAGAUGGGUGCAGAGGAAGAGGUGGAGGAUGGGUGUGCACCAUGGAUGGAAGAUGAUUUGGAGGGGGGCGUUGUUGAGAUCUGAACUUCGCCACUGGGGGGGGAGGUGGGAGAGGGGGGGUUUUAUGGGAUAUGGGUUCGCCCGAGGGGGUGUGGAUGGGCUUCAUGCAGGGGAGUGCGGGGGGGGGGGGGGGAAGGGAUCUGGGUUGGGCUCCUCUUCAUUGCCACGCUCUCUGUUAUCCUCACCACAAAUCCUUCAACUUUGCACCACAACUCUGUAUGUAUUGCCCCCUCUUCCCUAAAUCCAUUUUCUCCCAAUUAUUUAUUUAAUUAAUCGAUGUUUAGAUUGAAAUUUCGAGGCUUUAGCAAAACCCAGAUGUUAAUUUCACUGAUUAAUCACAACCCACAUUUUAAUUUUCACAUCUGAACAAAUCCCAGAUUGGAAACAAAAAGAAAACCCAUGUGAAAAUCUUGGAGUAAAACAAAACCCAGAUGUUAAUUUUUCAAUUAGAUAGGAUUGAGGUUUUAAUCUUGAUGUUUAAUUGAUUGCGGGCACUUCCAACAACUGGGAUAUGGGUUUCGCCGACGGGAUCGGGGUUCCAAGUUUUAUGGUUGUUCUCCUUCUUCUUCUUCUUCCAGGUUCUUCUUCUCCUUCUUCUUCUUCUUUCAAGGUUCAGGUACGGGGUGAUAGGAUUUGGAUCUUCUAACCUUUAUUUAUUUAUUAUUUAUUUAGAAGAUUAAGGUUUUUUUUUUAAAUUAAAAAAAAAUUGUUUUUUUGCCACGUGGCACAAAUAUAGCAGCCACGUUAGCACUUAAUGGAUCAAUGGAUGGAAAAUGUAACGGAUGUAUUAUUUUGAAAUAACAUAGUACAUAAGGUAUAAAAGUGAAAUGUUUUAAAAAUGUUGUAUGGGGUUGUAAUAGACCUCAAACAUGAGGGGCUACUAUGUAAUUUACCCUAUUUUUUUGUCUUAUUGUCUUUAUAAAAAAAUCAAUAUAAGAUGUUGAUGUGGCUAAACCGUAACCGUUCAAAUAGAAGGGGAGGGAAGAUGAGAGAGAUUAGGAUGGGAGAGAAUCCUCCUCCAUUGCUCAACACUUUCGUUGUAGAAGCCAUGCACGUUCAGACGGAAUAAAAGGUUAUAAUAUAAGAAACUUUAACGAAAAAUUUUCGGUACUGUUCACUUUAACGAAAAAUCAUAUUUUUACAUUAAAAAAUUAAUUCUAAUACUAUUUACUUUACCUUUUAUAAUAUAUAAAAUGGAGGAUCUCUGUCAGGACAGUAAAUGAUGCACAUGGAAUGGGGGCUCCUUUACUCGUUUUACGUACAAAAUUGCGAAUAUUUUAAGUUAGUUGAUGACAAUUUCUUUCAAUAAAGCCGCCCGCCUUUCAAGUGCUUUGCCUUUACAUACAAAAUUGCAAAUUUUUUCAGUCAGUUAAUGAACAAUGUCCUUUGAGAAAUUUCCGAACACUUUUUCUAAUUCCAAGAAAAAAUAAAAAACAAAGAAUUUUAGACUACAAAAUCAUGGAGAGAUGUCGAUUGUGAAUCCUCAUAUUUAGGAUUAUGGCUUGCCUUCUAUUGCGCUCAAUGCCAUUAAUUUGGAUUGUAUUGAUGAUGAUUGUACUAGAGGGUUUUAUUUUUAACAAAUAUCUUUUCUUUUGUUUUUAAUUCAUGGAGAGCUAAAAAUAUAGUUUUUCACUAUUAGAGUUGCCUAAGAUUUGAAAUUAUCUUUUCGUCCACAUGUGAUAAAUCAACUUAUUGAGUUAUUAAUAGAUAACUAUUAAGGGUCCAAGAUUAAUUUAGUUUAAUUUUACCAUUACACAAUCAUUACCACUAGCAUGCAAUUUAAUCUCAUCAAGGACUAACCUACAUAAACAAUUCAACAUAGCAUCUAGGUGGUGCACUUAUUAGUGCAUCAAUAGUUUAGAAUGUCAUGGUGACAUAAGCAAGAUAAAACCAAUCUGAAGCCUAUAAAUUUUUAAAUCAACAAGUGCACAACUUACAAAUAGAAGAAUUCGGCUAAAACAUUAUGAAUUGUCAAUUUAUUUAUUAUAGUUGAUUAACUAAAUGAUCUUAGUCUUAAUUGAUUUUUUUUUAAUAAACGAUAUUUUCAGAGUUAUUUAUAGUUGAAUGGCUUCAACUAUAAAUAAGAAGUUUUGUAAAUCAAACAUGAAGCAUCCUCCUCAACCUUGAGGAGCCAAGCAUUAUUCUACUUUGACAUGGCCAAAUAAAAGAAAAGAAAUUUACACACAAAAAAGUCACUACAACAGUUCUAGUAAGUCAAUCACACACUAUUAAUUAGGUCAUAAACCUCAUGGUAAUUAUGUCCAUGGAAAAAAAAAUCGAUAAUAUCGACGAAAUAUCGUUUUUUUGGAGAUCCAAUAUUUUUUUAACUAUUCAAAUGAUUUUCGUCAAAAUAUUUAGAUAUUAUCAAUAUAUACUAAAAAAUACUUAAAUAUGUUGAGAAAACUCAACACAUACUUCACUUGAUCAUAGCCCAAAGGGCAAACAAGAUAUGGCUAAAUGAGCAGGGGAAUGUGGGUUUUAUAGGACAAAUUGCGAGGGCAGUGAGCAAGCAUAGGCGAUGUGGGACUCUCCCAAUAGGAGAAAUCAGAAUUUCGGCCGAAAAUUUACACCCACUUUAAACGGCCAUAACUUUGUCAAAACUCAACGAAAUCAAGCAAGACAAAAAUGAAAGUUGUAGCCCUCGAAGAGACGAAGAGAAUGGUACCUCACACGAUGUCUGAAUCGUCGUGGUUUGGCCGGAACAUGCCUCGAAAGUCACUGAGAUCGCCAAAAACUGGGUAAGAUUCAAAUGGGUAUAACUUUUUUAAUACUCAACGAAAUUGAGUGAAUCAAAAAGAAAAGUUGUACUACUCGACGAGAAGAAGAGAUUGAUACCUUGCACGCCGGCCAACUCGCCGUGGUUUGGCCGGAAAUUGCCUCGAAAGCCACUGAGGUCACCGGAAAUUGGGUAAGAUUCAAAUGAGUAUAACUUUUUCAAUACGCAACGAAAUUGAGUGAAACAAAAAGGAAAGUUGUAGCCCUCGAAGAGACGAAGAGAAUGGUACCUCACACAACGUCGGAAUAAUUGUGGUUUGGCCGGAAAUUGCCUCGAAAGCCACUGAGGUCGCCGGAAACUGGGUAAGAUUCAAAUGAGUAUAAUUUUUUCAAUACUCAACGAAAUUGAGUGAAACAAAAAGGAAAGUUGUACUACUCGACGAGACGAAGAGAUUGAUACCUUGCACGCCGGCCAAAAUUCAAUUGACACACUCCUGGCUUCCAAAAUUCAAUUCUUUUACUUUAUAUAAACAUGAAAAAACAUAAUCGGCAUCCAAAUUAAAGUUUAGUCUUAUUCUUAUGUGUACGAAAUUUAAAGUGUCAAAUUCGGCAUAUUAUUCUUCAUCAUUUUAUUUACUUCCCUUUUUUUUUUUAAUAUCCUAAAUAAAACCUCCAAAUAUUGUACUAAUUAAUUAUAUAUAAAUGAUUAUGGUGUGUUUAAACUUCUUUCAUUAAUUACUACAUAUUUUCUACACUCACAAUGUUUGCCAGCUCGCUAUAUAAUCAACUUAAAUCAGUUAAAUCCAUCAUGCAAUGCAUUUCCUUCCAAUUUUUUGUGAUAAACUAAUAGAUAAUUGACUAAAUAAACAUCCUACAAAGUUUCAUUAAAAAUUUCCAAGUUUUUCUUACAAUUUCCGUGGUUUCCAUGAAAUUUUUAUCGAUAUCGAUAUUAUCCCAAUAUUUCCAUCGAUAUUUCCGUGUUUUCGGACUACCGAUAUUUCCGAUAUUACCGAUAUUUUCUUCCUUGAUUAUGUCAUAGACUUGUGCACAACUAACAGCUUCAUAAGCCAUUGACUAUAAUUAAAACCCUUUUUUUUUCUUUUCUUUUUCUUUUUUUUUUCCUAAAAAAUAAAGGUUUAGAUUUUGGAGAGAUUUUUUUCGGUUAAAACCUGGAAGAGUUUACUUGAAAGUGAGAGGUCUUAAGUUUAAUUAUUACCAAAGGCGAAUUUGAACCACAUUAUUGCUAACGCAUUGUGAGGCUUAGCACACUCCCUCAUCUUAGUGUAAAUAAUCCCAAUUAUUAAAAAAAAUGGGGAUAGUGGCUAAUCACUCGAUCAUAGGCUUGAUUCCCGGUGACAGGAGGCGCAGCUACACCUCCUUGCGUCUCUGCAGCCUCAUCGGUGCUUCUUGGCAAGCCAAAAACAUAAUAAUUUUCAAAAUACAACGUGUCAAGCAAGCCACUCAAUGGUUCAAAUAUUAUCUAUGCCAAGUCAAAGACAAAAUAAAAAAUCACAAAGUAUCAAACAAGCUCCUCAAUGGUUCAAACAAUGCCCAUAAAACAUGCCAAGCUAAGAAUGAGGCAUGAUAAAUUACAACAUACCAUGCAAACCAUUGAAGCCGAAAAAUCAACCCAACCAAAUAGUUGUGCCAUCCUAUCCUAUCCUAUCCAAGCCAAUCACCAAGUACAAGAACACUCCUAACGUACCACAACAACUAUCACUGUUAUUAACUAUCAUUUUCCAAUUCAGAUGACGAUUAAAAUAAGAGCUACAAAUACAAGUUCGUGAUGCGGUAAAUGUUAAGUCAAUGCACAUGCGGUAAAUGUUAAGUCAAUGCACAUGCUUAAAUGUUAAUUUUCCAACUACCAAAAUCAUGAACGAAAGUAGAAAAUGGGGCAUAUGGGAUGGGACCUCCCUUUAAUUUCGCGCUUUUCGUACAUGUGAAUUUUCUCAGUUAGUUAGUCACCAAUUUCUUUCAAUAAAUUUCGAAGUGCUUUCAAUUGAAUACCUUUCUAUAAUUUUUGGAAAAAAAAGUAGUAAAUUUCACAUUACAAAAUCAGGAAGGAAUAAGAAUAUAGUCGUUCAUGACUAAAGAUUGCCUAAAAUUUGGAAUCUGUCUUUUCGAAACUAUUGAGAGGUCAUAAGUGAGAGCAUAACUUACCUAAAAGUGAGCGCAUAACUAGUGGUGGAUUGCCCUUAUGAUUAGUGCAUUUCUCUUCAACUCACUGUAUCUCGGGUUCAAACCCUCAUGCCUCCAUUAAUGUAGAUAGUGUAGAAUAUCGCUUGUAAUUAAACAAAAUAAGCCCUUUCUCAUUCAAUUGACUUGUUUUACAUACAAAGUUUGGAACAUUUCCAGUUAGUGACCAGUUUUUUUUUAAGAAAUUUCCAAGCACUUUCGGUUGAGUACCUUUUUAUAAUUCCUAAAAAAAUAAAAAUAAGUCAAUUUCACACUACAAAACCAUGGAGGGCUAAGAAUAUAGUCCUUCACUAUUGGAGAUUGCCUAAGAUUUGGAAUCUGUCUUUCCGAUGCUAUUGGGAGGUCAUAAGAUAGCCUAGAACUUGGCCUGAAAGUAAACGAGAAAAACUUAUAUGGAGGUGGCUAAUCAUGUAAUCCGUACAAGAGUAACUUUCCAUGCUAAUGUGUCGUUUCUGUGACACCAGUAUUUUGAAAAUGUAUAUUUACUAUAAUUAUUAAAAAAGAUUUUUUGCGUUUCAGACCCUAAAGUAGAAAAAGGGGCACAUGGAUGGGGCCUCCUUUUAUGCAUUUGAAUUUUCGUAGUUAGUUAGUGGCCAAUUUCUUUCAAGAAAUUUUCAAUCAAUUUUGAUUGAGUACAUUUCUAUAAUUUCUCAAAAAAAAAAAAAAAAAUUCACACAACAAAAUCAUUAAGGGCUAAGAAUAUAGUUGUUCACCAAUGCAAAUAGCUUAAGAUUUUGGAAUUGUCUUUAUGAGCAUAGGCGGCAAAUCAACUUAUUGAAUUAUUAAUGGGUAAUCAUUAAGAGUCUUAGGGCGCGUUUGUUGCGCCGGACUAUCUCAGACUGGACUAGCUUCAAAGACUAAGCUGGACUGGCUUAGACUAGACUAAGCUGAACUAAUUUAGUGAAGCGGUUGGUGCAAUGUUGGACUAAGGGCUGGUUUGGUAUUGCUGUGCUUUGAAAAAAAGCUGCUGUGAGAAUAAGCGGCUGUGCUGUGAGAAUAAGCGGCUGUGAAAUAAAGCAGCAGAGCGUUGGGUAAACUUUUUUGUAAAAGUGCUUUUGGAAAAGAAAAAAAGCAGUCUGAUAGUGGGUCUUUUCAUUAAAGGAGCACUGUAGCUCCAUGUGCUUUGAAAAAAAACCAGUUUUCCAAAGCUGCAAAUAGCAGCUUCAGCUUUUUCCUUUGAUUUCAGCUUAUUCUCACAGCAGCUUCCAAAAUAAGCCUUUCUUUUUCAGUUUACCAAACACCUAAAACCCUCACAGCUUUUUUUCAUAGGUGCUUUUUUUUUAAGCACCUCACUCCCAAACUAGGUCUAAGAAGCUGGAUAAUAACAAAUUCUAAUAUUAUAUUAUUUAAUAUAUAAAUUAUUAAUAUUUUAUUAUGAUCUAGGUGACCAGAGAUGACGAGGAGUCUAUUGGGAGUGGUUGUUGAGCAUGACGAGGAUGUGAGAGGAUAGUCUUAGCUAGUCCCAUGGUUAUUGGGGGGUCUCGCUAAGACCUCUUAGUGAAGGGUUUUGUCCAUGCUAGUCCCCUUUAGUCUCAUUAAUGUUAGUCCUAGCAUGGAACAAACACAGUAUUGGACUAACAGCUAGUCCAGUCCAGUCCAGUCCCACUUAGCGAGGGCAAACAAACGCGCCCUUAGAUGUAUAUAGUUUGAUUUUAUGGUAAGGUAAUACACAAUCAUUACCAGUACCAAUCUCACCACCAUAUCAUGGUGAAAUCAAACCAAAUAGGUCUUAAUAGUUAUUCACUAAUAAUCCAACAAGUUGGUUUGCCGCAUCUAUUACCAAAGCGAUUCUAAAGGUCAUAAGAGAGUCCAGAACUCUGUCUAAAAUUAUGUGCUUGGCCUAAGUAAAAGAGUCAUGAUCCACCAUCUCUCUAUCUAUUUAGGCACUAAACUAAGCAAAAGACAGAGGUAGAAAUUUGGAAGCAAGCAAGGGAGGAGAGAGUAGUUGGCCGCAGAGACGAUCAGUUUUAAGUCCAGCAAUUGUACUAGUUGACUUGCACAAAAUUACACAAGUGCUAAAAUGCUCUUGAAUAAAAAAAAAAGGAGAAAUGAAAUUACCCAACUCACAAAUCACCCCUCAAAUUUCUUUUUUCCAUCCACUGAUUGCAGCUUUGAUCAACAGACCAUCAGACCAUCUCUCUCUAUAGGCACUAAACUAAGCAAAGAGAGAGGUAUAAAUUGGGAAGCAAGGGAGGGGAGAGUAGUUGCCUGAGACUAUCAGAUUUUAGUUCUGCAAUUGUAUUAUUUGUCUUGACUACUUGCACAAAGUUAAUGAAAAUUUUAUGGUGCACCGAGUACCAAGCCUCCAAGAAAAUAUCCAAAGAGAUGAUGAAAAAAAAUAAAGAAAAUGAAUAAGAAAGACAAAUUAAGGGCACAUCAUCAUCAUCAUUUCGUACCAAUUAAUCAAAUAAAUAAACAAGCACCAAAUCCCGCCCGAAGCCAUGGAUUUUAAAACUUUGUUAAAUGUGUAGGACAUGUUAAAAUUUAUUUACAUCCAUAUCAAAAUCUAUUUACAUCUUUAUGUUCAAUAAAAAACAAAUGAUACAUAUCAUAGAGUAUAUUAAGUUGUUUGUAUAAUAAUACAAAUAAUGUUGUAAACAUUCCUAGUUUAAGUAUGAUUGUGUAAAUCCUAGAUAAGAUUUGAUUCUAGUUAUCCUUUCCUAUUACAACUUGUAUUACUUGGAGAAGAAGGAAUAUCUUCUCUCCCUUUACUACUAUAAAUAAAGGCACAAUGUAGGAGGGAUAACAACACACACAUUCCCCUACAAUUCUACAAACACACAUCUCUCUCCUCUCUCUCUCUGCCGCCGGCCCUAGUCCCUCUGUCAGAUAAAAUAGACCACAACACGUUAUCAGCACGCUCCUACCGCUGCUCUUAGGAAUCUGACGUUGGAAAUUUUUUCUGCAUCAAACCAGUUCAUCCAUAUCAUCACGCAAUCAGGUUCUUUCCAAACAACGGUUUUUAACUCGAUAUUUUGCAAGCCCUGAUAGCAUGAACAUUCACCAUGAUGCAUGACCCAACUUUACGUUUAACGUAUUUUAGAUUCUACAUAAAUUGUGUAUGCUUCAUCAUCAAAAUUGCUUCAAUUAUGUGAAUUUGAUAUUUGUCAUGAAUUGAAUCCUACAUAUGUACAUGCAUUGAAACUAUUAUUUGCAUUCGCCUGGAGCGGCCCGCAUAAAAAAAAAAAAAAAAAAAAAAAAGUUUCUAGGCUCGCCUAGAGCGGCCCGCAUAAAAAAAAUAAAAAAAAAUGUUUCUGGGCUCGCCUGGAACGGCCCGCAUAAAAAAAAUAAAAAAUAAAAAAUUUUAGGGCUGCACACAGCAGCCCAUUCCCCUCUUCUCACCCCGUGGGCCUGUAAUCCCACCCGAGGGUUCUUGGCUUAUACUUUUAGGCCCCGAGAUUUUAUUAUUUAAUAUUUUUUUUAAAUAUGGGUUUUUAUAUUUUCACCCACACUUUAAUUUGGCCCCGAAGACCAAAAAUAAAUUACUUCACUUAUCAUUAUACAAUAUUUCUGCAUAUAUUCUUUGCAUAUUUGUUUGCAUAUAUAUUUGUGUUUACCUGCAGGAAUAUAUGAACCUGAAGUUCAUAAUUAUUUUGAAACCCGAAGUUUCUUAUACACAUGCCUUGUUAGAAAACCCGAAGUUUUCACUUAAAUAUAUCACCCAUGAAAACCCGAAGUUUUUCAUGCAAAAUUAAACCAAUACAUGUCUAUUAGAACCUGUAUGUUCUACUCCUAUGUGAAUGAAUUGAUUUUUCUCCAUUACACUAACCACAUCUUGUCCAUCUAUUUUGUGAUAGGAACAUGUCGAUGUCGAACUUGAACAAACUCGACUUCACCGCUUUGGAGGUUUCUGGAAGGAACUACCUUAAGUGGGUUCAAGAUGUGAAGCUCCACCUCACUGCAAAGAACUUGCGUCCUGCUAUUGAAGAAGCAACAGAUAAACCUGUUGGCGAGGCUGAAAAAGCUACUGCUAUGAUCUUCAUCCGAAGACAUAUCCAUGACGCUCUACAAACUGAGUACCUUGCUGAGGAGGAUCCACGUGCAUUAUGGGUCGCUUUGGCUGAUCGUUUCGAUCACCAAAAGGACAUAUUCUUGCCUGAAGCAAGACACGACUGGCAGCACUUGCGCUUCCAAGACUUUAAGUCUGUGAAUGAAUAUAAUUCUGAAGUUUGUCGAAUCCGAUCACUUCUCAAGUUUUGCAAUGAAACUUUGACUGAAGAGGAUCUCCUGGAGAAGACCUACUCGACCUUCUCUGCUUCUAAUAUUGUCCUGCAGCAACAAUAUAGAGCUCAGAAGUUCACUAAGUUCUCGGAUUUGAUCUCUGUUUUACUUCUUGCUGAAAAGCAGAACCAGCUGUUGAUGAAGAAUCAUCAAGCUCGACCUACUGGGGCUACUGCUGUGCCUGAAGCACAUUAUAGCACUAAUCAGCACCCAAAACGCCAAAAGAGGCGUGGUAAGGGCGGCCAGAAGCCAUCCCACCAAGGUCAACAGAGCCAAGGCCCAUCCAAGGGAGGAAACAAAGCCCAGAAGCGCCCAAACCUCGCUCCCAAGGCCCCGAACUUCAAGAAUAAGGGCAAAGCACCUGCCACAAUGAAUGACGAUAUGUGCUAUCGUUGUGGUUCCAAGGACAUUGGUCCCGUAUUUGCCGUGCUCCCAAGAAGGUUGUGGAUGCAUAUCAUUCUCGUCGUACGAAGUUUGAAUCAAACUUCCUGCAAGUGGACGAACCGGAGACUACAAAGAUGGAGGUUUCUGAUUUUCAGGAGGAUACCACUCCUAUGGAAGAUUAGAAUCUUAGACAUAGACUUAUUUUUCAGUUAAAAUAAGACAAUUGGGGCCGAAUUCCACCUUGUGGCCGAACCCCCACCUUGUUUUUUGGUUGAUUUUGAACAAUUUUCCUUUAUGUUUUGGAUUAUUAGUUGGCGAUUUAUUUUGGAUAUUAAGUUUUUAAUCCUUGAAUAAAUGAAAUUAUUUUGAAUUGAUACUUGUUUUUAUAAACUUUUAUACAUGUGACCGAUUCAAAUUAAUUUUUCAUUCUAGGUAUGACUAGUGGGAAAGUUAGUUGUCUGGCAGAUAGUGCAACCACGCAUACUGUUUUGCGUGAACGCAUCUAUUUCACUAACUUCGUACCUAAGAAUGCACCUCUGACAACCCUCUCAGGCCCAUCCAACCUGAUCGAAGGAUACGGUAAGGCACGUAUAAUGUUGUCCAAUGGUACAAUCUUGACCAUUGCUGAGGCACUCUAUUCUCCACGUUCCGGAAGAACGUUACUAAGUUUCAAGGACAUUAGAGAUAACAAUUACCACGCUGAAACCCACGUAGAAAACGGAGUUGAAUUUCUGUGCGUAACUUCCUACGAAUAUGGCCAGAAGCGUAUUCUAGAGAAGAUGGAGCGUAACCCGAGUGGUCUGUAUACUACGACCAUACGCCCCAUAGAAUGCCACUAUGUGGCCGGCCCUACCACAGGGACCGCGCACGAAAUUACACUUUGGCAUGAUCGUUUGGGACAUCCUGGACGAAUAGCGAUGCGCCGUAUCCUCAAAACUUCACACGGGCAUCCACUAACCCGAAGCUUAGGUUCGAUCCAUGAAAUUGCAUGUCAAACAUGUUCUAUGGGAAAGCUUAUUACUAAGCCUUCUUAUGACAAGAUUCGUUCGAAUCCUCCCAUUUUUCUACAACGGAUUCAGGGGGACAUUUGUGGACCGAUUCAACCUCCCUACGGACCAUUUAGAUAUUUUAUGGUUUUGGUUGACGCUUCUACACGUUGGUCACACGUGUGCUUGUUGUCCACAAGGAACGCUGCAUUCUCCAAACUGUUGGCUCAGGUUAUCAAGCUCAGGGCUCACCACCCUGAUUAUCCGAUCAAAUCUAUUCGAUUGGAUAAUGCUGGAGAAUUCACAUCUAAAAAUUUUGAUGACUAUUGCAUGUCGGUUGGGGUUGAAGUUGAACAUCCUGUACCCCAUGUUCACACGCAGAACGGCCUGGCAGAGGCUUUCAUUAAGCGUUUACAAAUGAUUGCUCGAUCGUUGGUCAUACGUACCAAGCUCCCGAUCGCUGCUUGGGGCCAUGCAAUAUUGCACGCAGCAAAGUUGGUCCGCCUGAGGCCUGUUGCGACACAACCAUUUAGUGCCCUUCAGUUGGUCACCGGAUGCGAACCCGACAUAUCGCAUCUGCGUGUUUUUGGUUGUGCGGUCUAUGUGCCGAUCUCGCCGCCCUUACGUACAAAAAUGGGGCCUCAGCGAAGGAUGGGAAUCUAUGUCGGAUAUGAUUCUCCUUCGAUUAUUUGUUACUUAGAACCUUUGACAGGCGAUCUGUUUACCGCUCGUUUCGCGGAUUGUCACUUCUAUGAGACAGUCUUCCCGUUGUUAGGGGGAGAUAAGAGCGUCAACGUUCCUAAUGAACGACGCGAAUUAUCGUGGACGACUCCCACUUUGUCUCAUUUAGAUCCCCGCACCGCUCAGUCUGAAGCUGAAGUGCAGCGCAUAUUAGAUCUCCAGAGCAUAACUCAGAGCAUGCCAGAUGCUUUCACCGAUCUAGCGCGCGUGACAAGAUCACAUAUUCCAGCUGCGAAUACGCCUGCAAAGAUGGAUGUACCAAAUGUACGACGGACUACCCUCCUGGAAGCCCGGGACGCCAAUUCUGGUGAUCCACGUACAUUAGCGGCUAGCCAAUCAUCUGCCCCUACACAAAAGCGUGGCAGACCCCUUGGUUCAAGGGAUUCACACCCCCGGAAGAGGAAAACCACGGCACAAGGUCCUGAAGAGCCUACCGUGAAUCCGACUAUCGCUUACUCAUUUUACCCAACUCAUGAGGAAAUUCUAGAUUAUGGAAGCGUCCUUGAAGAGACGAAUCCUCCUCCCGAGAAUCGUGAGAUUUCGGUCUAUUAUGCUAGCUUAGAUGAUGUGUGGCGUAGAAAUGAGAUGAUUGUCGACGAUGCAUUAGCAUUUGCAGUAGCUACUGAGAUCAUGUUGAGCGAUGACAUUGAACCGCGUUCCGUUGAUGAAUGUCGACGUAGAGCUGAUUGGUCAAACUGGAAACAAGCAAUCCAAGUCGAACUUGAUUCACUUGCAAAACGUAAGGUGUUUGGACCUGUAGUUCCUACUCCUCCACAUGUGAAGCCCGUUGGCUACAAGUGGGUUUUUGUUCGGAAGCGUAAUGAGAAGAACGAAAUUGUGCGUUACAAAGCUCGUCUUGUAGCACAAGGUUUCUCACAACGCCCCGGGAUUGACUAUGACGAAACUUACUCACCCGUUAUGGAUGUGAUUACUUUUCGAUACCUUAUCAGUUUGGUAGUUUCCGAAAAACUGGAUAUGCAGCUGAUGGACGUAGUAACCGCGUAUCUCUAUGGGGAUCUUGAUACGGAAAUUUAUAUGAAAGUUCCCGAAGGACUUACAUUGACUGGUUCAAAUAUUUCCAAACCCCGGAACACGCUCUUAAUUCGGCUGAGGCGUUCACUAUACGGUUUGAAACAAUCCGGAAGAAUAUGGUAUAACCGUUUAAGUGAGUAUUUGACUAGUCAGGGAUAUGUGAAUAACAAACUAUGCCCUUGUGUGUUCAUUAAGAAGUCACAUUCCGGAUUUGCGAUUGUUGCAGUAUAUGUCGAUGACAUGAAUCUCAUCGGAACUCCUGAAGAGCUCGCGAGAACUGCUUCGCACCUGAAGUCGGAAUUUGAGAUGAAAGAUCUAGGUAAGACUCGAUACUGUCUCGGUCUCGAGAUAGAGCAUUGUUCGGAUGGAAUCCUAGUACAUCAAUCGAACUACACCUUUUAAUGAGGAUAAAGCGAAGCCUUCGAGUACUCCUAUGGUCGUUCGUACGCUAGAUGCAAAGCGAGAUCCCUUCCGUCCGAAGGAGGAUGAUGAAGAGAUUUUGGAGCCUGAAGUUCCUUAUCUAAGAUGCACUAGACCCGACAUCUCCUUCGCUGUUAAUCUUUUGGCAAGAUACAGCAAUGCACCAACACGCAGACAUUGGACUGGCGUGAAAGACAUCUUCCGUUACCUUAAGGGUACUACGGAUUUGGGCUUAUUCUAUCCCUACGAAUCCUCGAGUGAUGCCGCACCCUAUGCUCAUCAGGUUGAUUCUCGCCUUGUUGGUUAUGCCGACGCUGGAUACUUAUCUGAUCCGCACAAGGCGCGUUCUCAAACGGGUUAUGUCUUUACCGUUGGAGGCACCGCAAUAUCUUGGAGGUCAACUAAACAGACCUUAGUUGCCACUUCGUCUAACCAUGCUGAAAUUCUCGCCUUACAUGAAGCAACUCGGGAAUGUUUUUGGUUGAGAGCAGUAGUGGGCCAUAUUCGAAGCUCCUGUGAUCUUCAUCCCGCCGUUAAUGCCCCGACGACGAUUUUUGAAGACAACGCAGCUUGCAUCGAACAGCUCAAGAAGGGUUACAUCAAAGGAGACAACACCAAGCAUAUUGCGCCGAAGUUCUUCUUUACACAUUAACAACAAGAGCAUUAGAAGAUUGAAGUCACGCAAAUCCGAUCACAAGACAAUCUGGCCGACCUCUUCACCAAAUCACUACCGAAGGCGACGUUUCAGAAGCUUGUUCAUGGAAUUGGUAUGCGUAAACUUUCUGAGUUGUAACUUUGCUAUUUCUCUUUGGAAUUAUGUCAAACUCAGGGGGAGUAUCUUCUAGAUACUUGCUUGAUCUUAAUGUACUCUUUUUCCCUACGAUUAGGAGCAUUUUUCCCACUGGGUUUUUGCUACCUAACUAGGUUUUAACGAGGCACCCACCUUGGGCUGGUCAUAUCCCUGAUGACGUCCUGUAGACGUUUCUUUUGACUUUGCAUUUCUCACGCAUUUUUCCUUAGACUAUGGAUUUUGUCCCUACUUGGGUUUUUGCCAUAGCCUUAGGGUUUUUUUUAGUGAGACUUACUACUUAUAUGCAAGUUCCUACCUUAUUGAGAAAUAAGCGUUGUUCCUUGGAAUCAGUGCUGACGAGUCGACUUCCUCAACUUCUGCAUGAUGCUGAAUCUACCUUGAGUAUUUACCCACUCAAGGGGGAGUGUUGUAAACAUUCCUAGUUUAAGUAUGAUUGUGUAAAUCCUAGAUAAGAUUUGAUUCUAGUUAUCCUUUCCUAUUACAACUUGUAUUACUUGGAGAAGAAGGAAUAUCUUCUCUCCCUUUACUACUAUAAAUAAAGGCACAAUGUAGGAGGGAUAACAACACACACAUUCCCCUACAAUUCUACAAACACACAUCUCUCUCCUCUCUCUCUCUGCCGCCGGCCCUAGUCCCUCUGUCAGAUAAAAUAGACCACAACAAAUAAAAAUAUCUUGUUUUCUACGUCUAACUUUUUCACAUUAUUGUUUCGUACUUCACUCUUCUUUCUUCUUUGCUGCCAAAAAGAUAAUUUUCUUGUACCCAUGCAUAGAAUUUUUAGAUAUGGAUCAAAACUAACAUACAAUAUAGAACUUCUGUUUUUCACUUGCUUAUGGAUUGGGUUACAAUCUAAGCUUGAGAAAAACAUUACAUGAGCUGAAAAAACAUAGUUAAGAAAAGAAAGAAGCUAGGUACUUUUCUUUCAUUACUAGUUGUGUAUUUACUCAGAAUACCAAUUGAAUGAAAAGGUAUUAAAUUCAUGAAUUGUAUGACAAGAAACAACAAAUGCAAAGAUUGUUUUCUUAAGAAAUAUAAAUUUAAAUGAUAAUUUUCUUAGCUUAUAUUAACAGUAGGACGUAAGGAACACUAAAAAUUGAAGUCAGACUGGACUUGCUUUUGGGGCGAGUCCGGCUAGCAUUCUCCCUUGGAAAUGGUCCUCCUCACAAAGCCAUCAUCAGAUCUAUUUCAUCAACCUUCAUUUUUGGUUCAGGUCAAUUUUCAUCAUUGAGAACGAGUUGGUAAAUACUUAAUGGGCCGGGCUCAUUAGAGCCAGUGGCAGUUUUGAAAUCACAGCAAUACGGUACCAUUUUUGUCACAAAAAAUAAGAAGGAAAAAUCGAAUAACCAUCGUUUUUACUUUUUACCCCUCAACUAUUGGCAUCUCUCCGUGUCUCCGUCUGUCUUCUGACUAUCCUCCUAAUCGGAGAAGAAGGGCAACCAAAUCCUCGCUGUACGUCGUUGUUUUCUAAGGCAUCGAAAUCUUGGUCCUCCGAAUUCGUGGUUUUCUGAUUCUUCCCGGUGCUCCUCUCCAUUGAUUCCAUGGUCUGAUCUUCGGCGAAUCGCAAUCCGACGGUGGCGAUGGCGUCGGCGCAGAACCAAUCGGCGAAUGUGGAUCUCUUCGAUGCGUAUUUCCGACGAACCGGUUUGUACCGGCCGGAUUAGUGGCAAUGAAGCCGUCGCUUUCUUCCAGGGCUCCGGUCUCCCCAAACAUGUCCUAGCGCAGGUACUCUCUCUCUAUAUAUAUGUAUGUGCUUGUGUUUAUAUGUAUAAUUGGAUGAGUAUAUUUGUGUAAUUAUAGUGGUUGAUCGGGAUUUGAUGCUGGUGGAAAUGUGUUCCAAAUCAAUUGAUUUUGAAUUUGUAGUCUAAUUGUAGUUGAAGUAGUUAAUGCGAGCUCGGGAUGUCGUAAUUCUCUGAUCUAAGCUGAGAUUUUUAUUUCGUGUUGGUAUAAUUAUAAAUGCGGAAUUGAUGUUAAAAUGGUAGAAAAUAAGUAGAUGAAGGAUUUAUACUACAGAUAGUGAGGUUGAGAGAGUUAUGUUAUUAGGUCAUUAAUUUACUUAUGGUGUGUCCGUUCGACAUUAUGUGGUAAGCAGACUUUAGAUAUGUGUUAUAUGACCCAAGGAUUGACCUAGGAUUGUUUAUUACAUUACAAUAAUGUAGUUGUAAUGUAACUGAACUGAUGCAUCUUUGCAAAACUUGUACUAUCCCUAUCCUGGAGUUGAAGUUGUUUAUUCUUCGUCUUCUGGGUGGUGGAUGAUUGACAAUGUUUAGUUGGUGGCAUUUGGCUUGAAUUCCUGAACAUAGCAGGCUAGAUCAAGCAUAUUUUUCUGCAAGAUGCUUUGCCGCUGGAUUGUCAUUCUUUGCAUGAUGUGUUUGUAUUUUGAUGUAAAAACUUACUUGAUGCCAAAAAUAUUUUGUAGAUAUAAAAUUUUAUUUGUAAUUGGGAUUAUUUUUUUGCUGGCCAAUUGACAUACAAUCAUCCAUAAGUACUAUUAAAUUGAGUCAAAUGUGCAGUCUAGAUUGAUGAAUUACUACCCAUCAUGCCACAUGAUCCUUGAUGGAGUGGUUUUGGGAGGGGCGCCCUCUUCCAGAAGCGCUACCAAACAAUGUUAUGUUUGAUUUAUCCCGGAGUUAAAGUUGUUUAUUUUUCCUCUUCUGGGUGGUGGACGACUGACAAUGUUUAGUUGGUGGCAUUUAGCUUGAAUUCCUGAACGUAACAGGCUAGAUCAAGCAUAUUUUUCUGCAAGAUGCUUUGCUGCUGGAAGUUCAUUCUUUGCAUGAUGCGUUUGAUAUAACCAAUAUUUUUCAACCUGGAAGUAAUUACUCCACUGCUGGCAGUGUAUUCUGGAGACCUGCAUCUGGCAUUCAUCCAUAAAACAAAUUCCAUUUUUUUUUUUUCAAAAACCAUAUGUCUUUCUUUGAUGGAGAAUAGUUUCUUAUUUUUCACUUUGAAAGGCUUUCAACAACAGCAACUGAUGCCUGGUCCUGGUGCUCUGCACAUGGCAGCCCCAGCUGGAGGAAGGCCUCCGAAGCCAGUCGCUCUUUCUCAUGCUUAGGUAAAGCAGCAGGCCAAUCAGCAGAAACCUAGAGUACCAGAAUUGGAGAAACAUCUUGUAAAUCAACUGAGUACAGAGGAGGUUAACCCACUGAACUCAAAGUUCAAAGAAGCAACCAAAGCUGAUAGUACUUAGGACUUUAAUGUUUCCCCAAUUUUUUCAGCUUGAGCAGCAAAGUUAUGUGUGCAUGUUACUUCUUGAUAAGUGUCAAAUCAUAACAAAUAUCCCAAAGACUUGGAAUUCUUGUGAUUGUGGGUUUUACUUUGUUCUUAAUAUCGCUCAUUUCUGUGGAGAAGAUUUUGAUCAAGUUUAAGUAGGGAGGCUGUUCGGGUUUUGAAGUUUAUGAUUAGUUCUUUUAUAUUAGUAAUCUUAAUGAGUGGCACUUCACAUGUUUUUAGUGCAUGGCAUUCAUUAUACUUUCUUUUUUAUUAGCAUUCAUCAUACUUUAUUGCAGUUUUGUUCCAAUCUCAGCUUGCCUUUCCUCACCCUUUGAUGCAAUUCUGUUUGUUCUUUGCAGGUCGAAGAACUGGAGAAAGAAAUAUUGGAUGCUAGAGAGAAAAUUGAAUACUUAUGGGUCAAAAUGCGGGAACUUGUGAGUAUCUCGUGUUUAUUUCUACCCUUUCUUUCUUGUAUGCCAUUGGUUGUGCAUAUUGAACAUUCUACAGUAGUUUUAAUUUUUGUGUUCGAAUAUAAUUGUUCUACGAGUGAUAGAUUUUUGGACAUCCUAAUCAUUUGUUGCUUUUAAAUAAUCUGCAGACUUCUUACUAUUUGAUUUUUGCAGUGGUGUAAGUUGGUAUUGAUUCUUGAAUUGACAAGUACUCUUGGGAGGAACUGCAGAUCAUGCGUUUUAUCAUUGUCCUGUAGCUUUAUAUGUGUGGCUGAGAUUGUGUAGGGAAGGAAAUGUAAGUUGGGUAAUUCCUGCAGGGUACAUAAGUUGUUUGGUGGAUAUGAAGCUUUUGUGAGGGUGCAGUAUGCCAACAAUUUUUUGGGGUUUAUUGGUUCGAGACUUGGGAGCAGUCUCUCCAUAAAUGGGGUUAAGGCUAGCCGACAUUCACCUCUCCCAGACCCUGCGUAAAGCGGGAGCCUUGUGCACUGGGUACGACCUAUUGGUUUGAGAGAAACACGAGGAUUUUUUUAAAACGAUAUUUGGGUGAGGACUAGUUAUGGAAUAAAGAUAGAUUUUGUUCACCACGUUGGCUGAUCUAUUUUUCUUAUUGGUAUAAGGUUUUGUACAAGAGUAGAUGUGUCAAUUGCCUUAAUGCGAUGACAGAAAGGGCCUCUGCUGAUAGACGUGAGGUAUGCUGUAGGAUACUUGAGCAUAUUGCCUGCUUAUAGACAUAUGUCAUCUGCUAAUAGAUUUCUGGUUGCACUUAGAUUCCUUUUACCUUUUCACCUUGUGGUAAAUGAAUCAUAUUGCCUGCUGAUUGUAGUUUUUGUUUUCUGGUUAUGGUUUGCCAACUUGUUCAGGAGAUUUAACUAUUCGAGGUGACUGAUUGAGAAGUUUAAUUGUCAGAUUCACUUUUGUGAAGGAGCUCACUCUUGAUGUGUCAAAUGUCUUGGCACCUCCAAAACAGAAAUCAUCAUCAGUUCAGAAAGAAAAAGCUCCCCCACUUGAGAGUCCAACAACUGCUUCUUCACCUAAAGUUGAUGUUAAGUAAAAAAAGCCUCUAAGUACAGAUGCCAAGGUUGUUGAAAAUGGAGUAGCAUAAGAUAAAAAUGAGGACGAGUCAGCAAAAAGUGCUCUGAACAGUCCAUUUGCCAGCAGUACUGUUGGAAGCCCAUCUAGAGAAUUUCAGAUUCUAACUAUGGAAAGACAACAGACACAGAUGCCUCACCCCGUAAUAAGGAAUCUCAAAGGUAUAGAUCUAGAUCUGUAGUUUUCUACAUAUUUAAGGUCACCCUGAUACGUGCAAAAUUGUUGAUAUUCUAAACUUUCAUGUGUAGUGAUGAUCAUGCGGGUGUUGGGACUAUGUUUUCUGGCGACAAUGGUUCCGAUGAACCAGGGGUUUCAAUGCAUUUAGUACCGCCAAGGUAAACUGAUAUUGUACAUUCAGUUUUUUAUUUUUUAUUUUUGCUCCUAUCAACUUUACACAGGACACACAAAAGAAGUACUUUGAUUCUAUUAGACGGGGGAGGGUGAAGAAGCUAGGACAGAAGGGUAGAGUUCAAGAGAGCAAAAUGCGUUUAGGAACGUGGAAUAUAGGAACCUUAACGGGAAAAUCUAUGGAAGUAGUGGAAGUUAUGGUGAGGAGAAGGAUAAAUAUUAUGUGCCUACAAGAAACUAAGUGGGUUGGUCGUAAGGCAAAUGAUCUAGAAAACUCAGGGUUUAAACUUUGGUAUUCCUGCAUUGCUGCUCUCCAGUGAGAAUGCUUUGAGGCUUGCAAGUAAGUACUAGGAACAAAAUCAAGAUCAACCGGAAGUGGGUGUUUGGUUGCUGCAUAAGCUCUAGACAUGUGAAGACCAGCCUUAGAUCUGGUAAUCAUAGGAUGUGUAUUCCGAGAAAUAGGUGGUGGCCUUGACUGUAGUGGUGAAAGAGAGGAGUCAUUGAGAGAGACAGAACUGGAGGAACUGAGAGAAUGAUCCACGGACUGAGUACAGGAAGAAGGCUCUGUGGAAGAUGGGAUCUGAGUAAUAGGUUGAGGUACAGAAGGACACUGUCGUUCUGAAGAGUUAUUGGCUGGAGGAGAAGGAGAGACAUGUUUGCUGAAAUGAAGAUCCAAGGAUGGUGAAAAAUCAGAAGAUGAAGUUUCUGAAGUGAAACUGUUGAGUGGCAGUGAUUUAAAGGGAUAAGUUGUUUCAUCAAAGACAACAUGUCUUGAUAUGUAGAUCCGAGUGGUGAGAGGAUCAAGGCAUCUAUAGCCUUUAUGUUGAAGACUAUAGCCCAAAAAUACACAACUUUUGCUCUUAGCAUCCAAUUUGCUGGGAGUGUAAGGUUUAAGCCAUGGAUAACAGUGACAACCAAAGACUUUCAGUUUAGAGUAAUCUGGAGGUUGAUUGAAGAGAAGUUCCCAAGGUGACUUUGUAAGACCAGAAAUAGGAAGUCUGUUAAUAAGGUAAAUUGCAGUGGAGAAAGCUUCAACCCAAAAAAUUUGAGGAACAUGAGAAGCAACAAGUAAUGUGCGAGCUGUCUCAACAAGAUGUCUGUGCUUUCUCUCUGCACAGCCAUUUUGUUCAGGCGUAUGAGGACAACUGAACUGAUGUAAUAUACCAUGUGCACGAAGAAAUGAAGCAAGAGAAUGACUAGUAAAUUUACCCCCUGAAUCUGAACGCAGAAUCUUGAUUUUAUUUCCACUGAAGUUUUCUACAUAGGUUUUGAAAGUAACAAACGUAGAAAAUACAUCGGAUUUAGACUUCAAUGGAAAAAACCAACUGUAUUUGCUAAAAUCAUCAACAAACAGUAGGUAAUACUUGAAGCCACUAUUAGAUGUAACAGUAGGUCCCCACAGAUCACAAUGCAGAAGCUGGAGACUCUGAGUUGUUGAUGAAUAAGACACUUCAAAAGGAAGCUUGUGAUUUUUAGCAAGCGCACAAUCUGAGCAGAAAAAAUCAACAGUUUUCUGGCCUUGCAGUGGAAGAUUAUUAGUGGAUAUAACUCUUCUAAAAAUUGAGGAGGAAGGAUGGCCGAGGCGCUUGUGCCAUACAGGGACAGGUGCUUGAAUGCUGAGAAAAGCUGAAGGUGAAGUGGGAGAACUGGUGGAACUGUGAAAAGGAUAGAAACCAUCCUUAACAGGGCCUUGCAAAAGCAUCUUCCCCGAAAUGCGAUCCUUGACAGUGGAUCCAUAAGGGUCAAGUUAAUGAACAGUUAUUAUCCUUAAGAAAUUGAUAAGCAGAUAAGAGAUUAUGUUUUAUGAAAGGAACAUGUAAAACAUUUCUCAGCUUAAAGGAAGUAUAAGGAGUGUGCAGAGAUGAAGAACCAAUAUGAUGAAUAGAUAGUCCUUUACCAUCUCCAAUGUAUACUUUGUCUUCUCCAGUGUAAGGAGUAGGAGAAGAGAUGUUAGCUACAUCAUCAGUGAUGUGAGAAGUAGCUCCAGAGUUAAUCAACCAAGGCUGAGAGGGUUUUGCUGAAUGAUGCACACACAUAGCAGCAAGUUUGGCUGGAGGAAUUCUACCACAGAUAUCCAGAUUCAUACGAUCAAAACAAUCAAGUGCCUCAUGACUGGUAGAUCCACAAAUCUGACAAGGGACUUUAAAAUUGGAAGGACCUUGAUAAUUGUGAAAGCCUUGAUAAUUGCGAUUGCCACGAUUGUUGAUGAAAUUACCCCUAUUAUUGUUAUGAAAGGUGCGAUUGCUGCGAUUUGAGGAGAAAUUACCUCUAAAUGUCUUACCACGAUUUGAGUUAAAUCGAGAAGCAGGAUGAAAUGAUUGAUUUUUAGCAGCAAAGGCAGAUGGAGUAGGAAGCAGGGGAGGCUGAGAUUGCACUGAGAAUGCUUGAAAGGGCUCAGAGGAUGAAAGAACAGCCUUGCGACGGGUCAUAGACAACUCUUUGGUGAGUAAGAGACCAUGGAGUUCAUCAAGGGAUGUAGAAGAGAGCCGCAGCAUGAUGGAGUCAAUAAAGGACUCGAAUUCAUCAGGUAAUCCAUGUAGAGUGGCAGCAAUUAGGUCACGAUCAGACACUGAAGCACCAGCAGCUUCCAAGGAAUCAGCAAUUUCCUUGAUUUGUUGAAGAUACGCAGAAAUGGACUGAGAACCUUUCUGAAUUGAUUGAAGUCUGGACCUUAAUUGAUGAAUGUGAGCUUCCGAAACUCCACCAAAACGCUGUUCAAGCUUUACCCAGAGCUCACGAGAAGAAGAAACUCCAACCGUGAACGGAAUGAUCUCUUCGGACAGGGUAGAAUUAAGCCAAAUCAAAAAUUUUGAUCUUUUUCAUACCAAUCCUCAAAGGCAGGGUUCAUCGAGCGAUCAGGCAAGAAUGGCGAAGGACAAACCUCAGUGCCGUCAAUAAUACUAAGAAGCUUGUAUCGCCUGAAAAUUGGAGCAAACAGUGCUCGCCAUGGCAGAUAGUUGGAACUUUUCAGCUUGAUCGGCACCAUACUGCCCAUGUUGUGAAUCGUCAGAGAGGUAUACGAAUUCAGAGGACUCGGAUUAGAAGAGGAAUUAGGGUUUUGAACCGAAGGAGAGAUGACCGGAGAAGACGAUCCAGUCGGUUGCGACGCAGAUUGAGCAGCCAUAGCUUGCAGAAAACAAGAUUCAAGAGAGAUCGAGAACAAAAAGUGAAGAAUCAGAGAGAAGAAAGCAAGAAUCGAUCAAGACACGAUCGAGAUGACGAGCGGAAGAGAAGGUCGGUGCUGUAAAGCAGAACGGCUCUGAUACCAUAUAGAAACAGAAAACUUCAAUAGUAAGUUUUCCUGAUUGUAUUGAAUGAAUAAUUCAGUUACACAGGUGUCAAUAUAUAUAGCCUUAGCUGCCUUAGGCUAAUUACAAAAGUACCCUCAACUACCUAAACUAAUCACAGUUACUAACAAAAACAAUUACAUUUAGCUUUAACAACUAUUUUUUUUUUUUUUUUUUUUUUUUUUUUGAGAAGAAACAAAACAUUUUAUAGAAGAAAAGAGAAAUACACUGGAGUGGAUAAGAAAUCCACCAAACAAGAAACAAGAAAAAACUCUCACUAGGAUUUGGCUACAGCAACAUUAGCUAGACUCACUUUACUGCUGCUAACAAAUCCCACAGUAAUUGAGAAAUAGAGUAGUUAUUAAAAACAUUUGAGACUGAAGCCCAAAGGGCUGCCCAAUAUUUUACUCUUCCCCAAAGUACUUCUACCCCCACACCUGUAUAAUCCUCAAAAAUUCUUUUGUUACGCUCCAGCCAAAUGUUCCAAAAAACUGCCGAGACCAGACAACCCCACAAAGCUUUAGCUUUCCUCCCACUUCCUAGGGCCUGAAACUUGGUGCUUAGAAGCUCGAAACAACCCUUUGGAAUGACCCAACUAGCUCUAACCUCCUGAAACAGUUUCCACCACAGCUGAAUCGUGUAAGAGCAAUGGAGAAAAAUGUGGUUUACACUCUCCUCCUUUGCUUUGCACAAACUGCACCAUUGUGGGGAUAAGCAAAUAAAAGGGCUUCUCCUUUGAAUUUGGUCACAAGUGUUGAGCUUCCCUUUGGCCGCCAGCCAUACAAGAAUCUUAACCUUCGGAGGAACUUUGGAUUUCCAAAUCUGUGAAUGGGGUUGGAAGUAUUGCAUCAUCCCAUUGUUACUCAAAGAAGGAACAAUAGGAUUUGCAUGUGAACAAUCCUGAUGCUUCCAUUUUCCACCUUCUGUUAUCCAUUCUUGAUUGAGACAAUCGGACCUCUUCCACUUUCUGUAAUAAUCUAGCCGCCUCUUCUAUCUCCGCCUCAUUCAAAUUUCUCCUGAAAUCAAAAUUCCAACUUAAAGAAUUGGUAGAAAGAUCUACAAAGCUUGAAAUGUUCUGAUUGUGCUUCCUCGAUAGCAAGAAUAAUCUAGGAAAUUGCUCUUUCAAUGGUCCUCCAUCUAACCACCCAUCCUCCCAAAACCUCACCCUCUCCCCGUUGCCCACCUCGAACUUACAGCAGUGAAGAGAAACAAUUGGGAACCAAUCGAUAUAUCUUUCCAUGGGCUACGGCUUGAACCCCUUAUCGGAGGAAAUGCGUUCCAUCCGUUAUCCUGUAGCCCAUAUUUGCUUCUUAUCACUUUGUGCCAGAGAGAAUGAGGUUCCUUUGGGAAUCUCCACAACCACUUAGCAAGUAAUGCUUCAUUCCGAUUCCUCAAAUUCCCCACCCCUAAACCUCCUUCCUCUUUACUUUUAAUAACUAUCUCCCAUUUUACCAGGUUGUUUUUUCUUUCCUUCCUCCACACCUUCCCACAAAAAUCCUUUCAUUAGUUUUUCUAGGCGUCCAAUCACCCCGCAAGGCAUUUUGAACAGAGACAUGUAGUAGGUCGGCAAGCUUCCCAAAACAGAUUGAAUCAGAGUUAAUCUACCUCCUCUGGAUAAGAAGGCCUUCUUCCAACUUUGAAGUCUUUUUUCCAUCUUAUCUACCACUGGAUCCCAAAAACUUGAGUGCUCUUGGCCUACCCCAAGAGGGAGUCCCAAAUACUUUAUAGGCCAGCUACCUACCUCACAACCCCAAGAAUCCGCCAACCUAUUUAAUUUCUCACAAUCUGAAUUUAUUCCAGCCAAAUAACACUUAGCUUUGUUGAUUUUCAACCCUGAAACAGAACAGAAUAAUUUGAGCAGCUCUAAUAGAUUGUUCCAACCUCCCUCAUCUUCCGCCAAGAAAAAAAUGGUAUCAUCUGCAAAUUGAAGAUGAGAAAAUCUCCACCUUUUCUUGCCCAAUACAUAACCCUUUGAUGAGAUGAUUUUCUUGAGCCUUCUCCAUUAACCUACUCAAAACAUCGACUACUAAGGUAAAAAGAAAAGGUGACAGUGGAUCACCUUGUCUCAAAACCUCUUGAAGCUUGAAAAUUUUCCCCUAGGCCUCCCGUUAAUCAAAACAGAAAAAUUUGCGGAACUUAAGCAUCCCUGCAUCCAUUUCCUCCAUCUGUUGCCAAAGCUUUUUCUUUGUAAGACUUCGUCCAAAAAUCUCCACUCUACAUGAUCAUACGCUUUUUUUCAAAAUCUAUUUUUGAGCACCAAUCCCUCCUCUUUCUUCUGCCUGACCUCUUCUACCACUUCAUUUGCGAUAAGGACAGCAUCCAAUAUUUGUCGAUCCUUAACAAACGCUCCUUGAUUUUGAGAAAUUGUGCUGCCCAAGACCUCCUUUAAUCUUGAGGCCAAGGUUUUUCGCCAUAAUUUUUAUAUAACCCAGUCACAAGACUUAUGGGCCUGAAAUCCGUCACUUUCAUAGAAUCUGACUUCUUCGGAAUUAGACAAAUAAAAGUUUCAUUUGUCACCGCAUUUAUUAUCCCUGUCUCGUAGAACUCCUCCAUAAUCUUCAUAAUGUUCACCUUCAAGAUAUCCCAACAUUGUUGAAUCAUUUGCAAAGAAUAGCCAUCCGGUCCUGGCGAUUUAUCCUUUCCACAAUCAAAAACUGCUCUUUGAACUUCGGCUUCCUCAAAAGGCCUCUCAAUCCAAUUCGCCUCAAGUUCGCUUAUUGGAGCCCAAUUGAUACCUUCCAAGCCCCAACAUGCCUCUCUUCGUUGCUACUAAACAAGGACUUGAAGAACUUGACUAUAUGAUCUUCUAUCUCGUUCGCAUCCUCUAUCACUCCCCCAACCUCCGAUUCCAACCUUUCUAUAUAGUUUCUCUUCCUUCUCCCGCUUGCAACUCGAUGGAAAAAUUUAGUAUUACCGUCCCCUUCCUUUGCCCAUUCCACUUUACUUCUUUGCCUCCAUUUCACUUCUUCCUUGUAAGCCAAAUCUCCCAUACGGAAGAGUAGUUCUUCCCUCUUUCUUCUAGCAUCAACAUCUAGCCCUUCCAUCCCCUCUCUCCUAUCUAACUCCUCUAAGCUAGCCUCAGCUUCUUUAAAGUCUUUCUCAACUUCCCCGAAACUCUCCUUACUCCAUCUUUGCACCUUUUUUUUUAUGGCUUUUAACUUGAUCAUAAACUUGUAACCCUCCCAUCCCUCCACCUGCUCAGAUUGCCACCAUAGAUUGAACUUGUUCCUGAACUCUGGAUGUUGUAGCCACAUGUUUUCGAAUCUAAAAGGACUUGGCCCCCAUUUCACCUUGUUGGAUUCUAGCUGGAUAGGGCAAUGAUCAGAAAUUACCCUUGCCAAAGCCAUUUGUCUUACCUCUCUGGAAAAAUCUCUUCACAACCUGCAGAGACCAGAAAUCUGUCUAGCCUCCGACACACAGGUUCUUCUCUGAAAUUUGACCAUGUAAAUUGAGCAUUAAGCAAUUCCAAAUCUUUGAGUUCUGUUUCUCGAAUGAAAUCAUUAAAAUUCCUCAUGCUUGUAGUCAGCCUUCCCCCAUUUUGAUUUCUCGUUUACAAAUCUCACCACGUUAAAAUCCCCUCCUACACACCCAUUUUGGUCCGCACAGUCCGUAAAGGCCAGCCAUUUCUUCCCAGAACUCCCUUCGCUCUCUACUUUUGCAAGGGCCAUAGACCCCUGAUAACCACCAUUCCAACCCGUUGAAGGCCUUAAUUUUUAUGGAGACAGAGAAAACUCCAAUCAGAGAUUCAGUAACUGAGAUGUUUUUGGUGUUCCAAAUUACUGCUAUGCCCCCAGAACUUCCUUGAGCAGGGGCAUAAAUCCACUCUUUAAAUCUGCUUCCCCCACACGCUGGCCACAAGUCUCCCUAUCGAUUGAUGUUUUCUUAGUUUCUUGUAAUAUAAUGAUAUCAGGCUGUAAACGUCGGAACUGCUGUUUCAAUGUCAGUCUCUUCUGUUUACUUCCCAAUCCUCUAACAUUCCAGCUAAUUAUCUUCAUUAAGUCUGAUAAUACCCCUUUGAAAUUUCUUGUCUCCCUUGCUUCCACCCUCACUCUUGCUGACUUUAACUUUCCCAGUCUUCAUUUCAUGGAAUAAAGACCUUUUCAGAGGAAACAAGGAAACUUUCAUCUUUGACAAAAAUUUGGAAGAUUGAUCUUGUGCCUCGCGUUUGACUGAUACGCAAGCCGAUCUUUUCCUUCUACUGUACUUUAACAUUUUCUUGUUUUUUCCAAUAUCCUUGAAAUCGGACUGCUCCACAUCUUCUAAUGCUACUACAUGAUGCGUUUGACUUGGUUCCUCUUCCGCUGUCGCCUCUGUUUCCAAAUUUGUAUCUAUGAAGAGGUUGUGAAGCUCCCCGUUGAACCGAUCAAAAACAUCAGAUGGUUCUUUUUCGUCUUGUGAAGAGUCACCAUUCUCCUCAUCUGAAUCUGAUGAUUGUGACAUGUAUUCUUCUUCAGCACUAUCUGAUAAAAAAGACGAAUCCAAUCCAAGAGCCUCAGUCCAUCUCAUCCUUUGAUCAAAUGGUUCCUCCUCUGUCGACCAGCCCGAUCGCCGAACAGGAUUUUCAUCAACAUCACUCUCCUUUUCUUCCCUCUAAUUCACAAACAGAAUCUAAGAUGGAAAGAUUGGGGGAAUGGAUUUCCAUCAUUUCAGGCCUUUCGACAGCAGUCUGGUUAGAUCCGAAUUCGUGUGGGAGAAGAAGCUUCAGCCUUUUUCCAAGUUUGUCUAUUUCACCAAAUCUCCCAAGAAACUUCAAAUUGAAACAAGUGGGGGCUUUUUUUGGGACACCGUCGAAAUGAGCUUCCUUAGCCUGUUGUCGCUGAAAUAAAAUCUCUGUAGUAAAAUUUGGCAUGUUGCUCACCCGAAACGACAACUUUGGUUCUGCCGACAUGGCUGAGUGCCAAAAGAUCUUGUUUGAUAGUUCCCUUCCUAACUGAAAAUGAUAUCUCAGCCCAUCAUAGUUUAGAAUAAGUGGGCCUAGACAUGACCCAGCAUAAUUAUUUUGUGGAACAAGACCCACGAGCCUUACAAAGUCACUUAGAACAAAAUCCUUGUGAACCAGGGGCCCACGCACCAUCAAAGCUUUUUCUUUACUUUUUAGACUAACCUCCUUGUUUGAUCUAUUAAAAUAAUACCCACUUGUAGAGCUUUGUGCUUCUUCGGUGGACAUACCACCACCGCCACCUGCUCUCCCACUUACUUCCAUGCCUUUGCCAUUUUCCAAAAAGCACCUUUGUCUGAGACUUUCUUUCCUUUUUGAAUUCUUGAAAUUAUCCUUUGCAUCUGCAUUUUCUUGUUCUUCUAUAAAGCUCGCCGAAUCUGUCAGACAUUCUUUCUUAAGUGGCCUCCCGUGCUUGCUAAUAGAGAAAGUAAAGUCAUGGGUUGCAGACACCUCAUGCCGUGCAUCCUCUGUCAAAAGCCUGUUCAGACCAUACUUUCUGUCAGCUCCAACAGUGACAGGGCAUUCAAACUCACCAAUCCGGAAAGAGACACGUGUCCCCGGAAAAGGAACUGAUUGUUGCAUAUCCGCCUUCGCCGGAAGGGUAGCUCCGGUGAGCCUCUGUAUUUUCAGGUCCUUCUUCAAAGAUCCAUUUGGUGAUUUAGUUGCUCCACCGUCUUCAGCCGAAGAUUAGGUCUCUUUGCUGGCGAAAGUUGACGAAUUUUAACCCUGAAAACUGAUUCUCCAUCUGCCACGUCAACGAACUCUGGAAUAAAGCCUGUGUCGUUGGGUUUCAAUUUUAAUUUUGCUUCGAGCAGAAAAUCAAAGUUAGCGGUUCUUCGGUCGAUUUCUACCAGACCUCCGCAGGCCUCUCCAAUCUUCAGGAAAAAAUUAUUGGUCCAAAGGUGUGGCGGUAAUCCUUCCAGAGCCACCCAACCGCCAUAACUAACCACCUUUCUGUGAUUUGAAUUGAUACUGUCCCACCAUCCAGACAUCACCACGUCUGGUAGCUUUUUCAUGGCUAGAGUUCCAAGUUGAGCAAUUUUGGUUGCUUCCUCUUCGUUCUGACAAACGAACAACGCCUUGUUGCAUUGGAAAGGCGAGAGUCUUAUUUCCAUUCCCAGAAGAUUUCGAAGUGAGGCCUCCACCUCUCUCCAAGGUUGAUGUACCACCUGUCUCUCACAAACAACUACGCUCCCCCAGCUGUAGGCUUCCUUGGAAAUGUCUCUCUUAUUCCAGAUUUUCUUCAUCCAUAUUUCCUCUUUGGCAUUUCGAAUGGGUGCCACAAUUGUCGCCUUCUUGCCUCCGAGGACAGCAUCCCUAUACGAAACCUGAUGGCCUGCACCCGUCUGGCUGUUCACGAACUCUUUUCCGACUCUUUUCACUUUCCUCUGAGUAGCCCCCACUCUCUUUCCCCCACGGAGGAUUUCAGACAAUAAGACCUCUAAACUUCUCCAUCCGAAAAAGUUAAAACCUUCAGGGACGAGAAUAUUUCUGACAAAGCCUUCCUUUUCUGAUUUGGAGAUAACAAGGAAAUCCCCGUUUUUGUUAUGAAAUCUUUCGACCCAAAACUGGUAGUUAUGUCCACUAUAUUUUCUGAAGAACUUCUGCCCGCCCUUAACUAUUGCCUCCUUUACCUGAUCAACUAGCCAAGCAGCACAACCCAAAUCAAAAGAAAUCUGGUAUCCUCUGAUUCUAGUUCUCUCAGUUAUUCGAAUCCUUUCACCGAAAGACUUAUCUUCUACCUCUAAGAUGAAAACCUUUUGCUCAACUUUGAAAUCCCUGGAUAAAUGUCUGUAGCUCAUCCUUACUUACCUUUCACUGAGUCGAUUCACGCCCUACAAAGUUCUCUAUGGCCUUCCUGAAACCUUAUCAACUGUGAAUACGAGGCACUUAAGACCAAAAUAAUGAACUUCCAAAUCAUCCUCCUCUUUUCUUUUGGGUAGUGGUUUAGAGUGUUUCUGCCCUUCUUUUGAUCACGACUGAGCUAAUGCUUAAGAAGGUCUCUAUAUAAUAAUAUGAGGACUCGAGGAAUCUGAGUCCCUAAAAUUUAAAUUUGAAUCCAUAAACCCAUAAUCUCUAAAUCCAUAAAAUCUUUCAAAUCCUAAAUCCCUAGAGGCUAGAGAGCAGACAUGAAAGUACCAGAAAUUGAAGCGGACGAACAACGGAACAUGCCCAAGAAUUGAAGAUUUAAAAUAGUCGGCAAGGGACGAAUCGCACAACACAGAAAGGCUUGAGUUUUUUGGCCAACUCAAUAUUUUCAUAUAAUAAUUUUGUUCAAAACAAUUUAAAAUGUAAACUAUGCAGGAGUACUGGAGCUGCAGACAGUUAUUCCCCCUUUUCUGGUUUCAGAAGGAAGGAGGGGUGGGAGGAAUAACAAUAUUAGAGAGCUCAGGUUGUUGGAGCUCAAUACGCCAGUGAAAGUAGACAAGGAAACUACCUCAUAGGCAGCAUACACCUCUGUAUUGAAGCCAAUCUCCUCGCCAUUUUCAUUGGUGCCAAAACCCCUAGGCUUUCCAAAAUAUAUACCUCCAGUGAGCUCUCUUACAACCAUGCUUUAACAACUAUUUAACAGUAACUAUAUUGGAUGACUUAUCAUUCUCCCUAAUAGGCAUCAUCGUGGACAAGACCUUGACACAAGAUGUUGUAGAUGUCAAGAGGGUAGGAGAUAGAAUCAUGGCAAUCAAGAUUGUAAUAGGACAAGAACUUAUCAAUGUGAUUAGUGCGUACGCACCUCAAGUAGAGUUGGAUACGAGUUCGAAGGAGAAAUUUUGGGAAGACCUUGGAGACUUGGUGCAAGGAAUUGCUCAGACGGAGAAGAUAUUUAUAGGAGGAGAUUUAAAUGGACACGUGGGCAGGGAGACAGGCAACUAUGGAAGUUUUCAUGGUGGCCAUGGUUUUGGGGAGAGAAACGAGGAUGGGGAAGCUAUCUUGGAUUUUGCAAUGGCGUAUGAUCUCUUCUUAGCCAACACCUUCUUUAAGAAGAGAGAAGAACAUGUGAUCACCUACAAGAGUGAGUCGUCAAAAACACAAAUAGAUUUUCUUCUAAUGAGGAAAGGGGAUCGUAUAACUUGUAAGGAUUGCAAAGUUAUACCAGGAGAGAGCGUGGCUAAUCAACAUCACUUGUUGGUGAUGGAUGUACAUAUAAAAAUAGAGAAAAAAGAACAAGACUUGGAAGUGCCCAAGGACUAGAUGGUGGAAUCUAAAAGAAGAAAAACAAGUCAUUUUCAAAGAGAAAGUAAUCACCCAGUGUGUGUGGGAUAGAGAGGGGGAAGCUAGCCAAAUGUGGGAUUUCAUGGCUAGUUGUAUCCGAAAAGUAGCAAAAGGGGUAUUAGGAGAGUCUAAGGGCUUUGCCCCACACCAAAAGGAAUCUUGGUGGUGGAAUGAGGAGGUACAAACAAAGGUGAAGGCUAAGAAGGAAUGUUGUAAAGCCUUAUACAAGGAUAUGACCGAUGAAAAUGGUGAAAGGUAUAGAAAAGCGAAGCAAGAGGCGAAGAAAGCUGUGAGAGAAGCUAAGUUAGCGGCUUAUGACGAUAUGUAUAAGCGACUAGAUACCAAAGAAGGAGAGUUUGAUAUCUAUAAACUAGCUAGAGCAAGAGAAAAGAAGACAAGAGACCUAAACCAAAUGAGGUGCAUCAAGGAUGAUGAUGGAAAAGUUCUUGCUACAGAGAACGCGGUUAAAGACAGAUGGAGAGGUUAUUUUCAUAAUAUUUUCAAUGAAGGACAUGAAAGGAGUGCUUCUUUAGGGGAGUUGAGUAACUCAGAAUAGUAGAAACUACUCUUUUUAUCGUCGAAUUCGGAAGGAAGAAGUGGUUGUAGCUUUGAAGAAGAUGAAGCAUAGAAAAGCAGUAGGCCCAGACGAUAUACCAAUCGAAGUGUGGAAAGUUUUGGGAGAGAGGUAUAACAUGGCUCACUGACCUUUUCAAUAGGAUUUUGAAAACGAAGAAGAUGCCAAAUGAGUGGCGAACGAGCACUUUGGUGCCUAUCUACAAGAAUAAGGGCGACGUAAAAAAUUGCAUGAACUAUAGGGGUAUUAAGCUAAUGAGUCAUACAAUGAAGCUCUGGGAGAGAGUCAUUGAGAAUAGAUUGAGGCAAGAGACACGGGUUUCGGACAACCAAUUCGGGUUCAUGCGAGGGCGUUCAACCAUGGAGGCAAUCUAUCUCUUACGAAGAUUGAUGGAAAGAUAUAGAGAUGGGAAAAAGGAUUUACACAUGGUCUUUAUAGAUUUGGAAAAAGCGUAUGAUAGGGUCUCAAGAGACAUUUUUUGGAGGAUUCUAGAGAAGAAAGGAGUACGAGUAGCAUAUAUCCAAGCUAUAAAGGAUAUGUAUGAAGAAGCAAAAACUGCUGUAAGAACUCAUGAAGGACAAACCGAAAGCUUUCCUAUAACUGUAGGAUUACAUCAAUGCUCAUCCUUAAGUCCUUAUCUUUUUGCGUUGGUAAUGGAUGAGUUAACAUGACAUAUUCAAGAUGAUAUUCCUUGGUGUAUGCUUUUCGCAGAUGAUAUGGUGUUGAUAGAUGAAACUCAGGAAAGGGUAAAUGCAAAGCUUAAUCUUUGGAGAGAAGUGUUGGAAUCUAAAGGUAUUCGCCGAAGCCGAUCAAAGACAAUAUAUGGAGUGCAAGUUCAGUGCAAAUGGAGGCCAAAACGAGUUAGGGGUGAGGAUCGGAGAUCAAGAAAUACCAAAGAGCGAUCGUUUUCGUUACCUAGGAUCUAUCUUGCAAAAGAACGGAGAAUUAGAUGGAGAUCUCAACCAUAGAAUACAAGCUGGAUGGAUGAAUUGGAAGAGUGCAUCCGGCGUGUUGUGUGACCGCCGUAUGCCACUGAAGCUCAAGGGAAAAUUUUAUAGGACGGCAAUAAGGCCGGCGAUGCUGUAUGGCACAGAAUGUUGGGCGGUGAAGCAUCAACACGUACACAAAAUGGGCGUAGCGGAGAUGAGGAUGCUUCGUUGGAUGUGUGGGCACACGAGAAAGGAUAAGAUUAGGAAUGAGGAUAUCCGGGGUAAAGUAGGAGUAACCGAAAUUGAAGGAAAGAUGAGAGAAAAUCGGUUACGGUGGUUUGAACAUGUGCAAAGAAGGCCUACUGACGCUCCGAUUAGAAGAUGCAACUAUGGGACAGAGGUUCAGGGACAAAGGGGUAGAGGAAGACCUAGGAAAACUUUGGAACAGACUUUAAGAAAAGACUUAGAGUACUUGGAUCUAACGGAGGACAUGACACAGGAUCGAGCACAAUGGCGUUCUAAGAUUCAUAUAGCCGAUCCCACUUAGUGACUUGGAUUUUUCAAGUCUCCAACCGAGAAGUUUUCCUCCCUUGGGAAAUUAAGGGAACACUACCUCAACCUACAUGCUCCACUCACAAAGCUUCAACAUACAAGCUUCAACAAAAGAAAAUUCAAAGAACUUAGCGAGGAAGGUUUUGGUGUAUAUAACACAAUACGUUGAAAUGAAUGAAAGUUUAUAUAUUGAUAUCCUCGAUAAGUUACAAAUAUGUACAUAUACAUGAGUCAAAAUAAACACUCAUGAGGGAGCCUUCACAAAUGUUGCUUAGGAGAAGUCUCAGCAGUCGGUAGAGCCCCAGAAAGAGAAGGCACCGGAGGGGGAUCAUUCGGAGCCUCCGUACUGGACAGAACCCUAGAAGGAGGCAUCAGAGGUUGAUCAUUUGGAGCUUCAUUACGCGGUACAGUCCCAGAAGACGAAGGCAAUAAAUGCCUUUGGAACAAACCCACAAAUAUCUGAUGAUCAAGUAAAACCUGACCAUCAGAUUCCUUCAUCUGGUCAAGCUUCCUCUUUAUGUUUGUAGCAUAGUCAUGUGCGAGCCGGUGCAACUGUUUAUUCUGAUGCUUGAGCCCUCUAAUCUCCUGUUUGAGACUUAUCACUUCAGCCGCCAAUGAUUCAACUUGGCGGGUUCGAGCAAAUAGGCGUUGGGCCAUAUUAGACACAGAACCUGCAUACUGAACACUGAGAGCCAAAGAAUCCUUAACAGCCAACUCAUCAGACUGUUUGGAAAGUAGUUUGUUAUCUUUGGGAGUGAGAAGGUUCCUGGCCACCACCGCAGCGGUUAUAUCAUUCUUCAUCACGGAAUCCCCAACGGUAAGAGGACCAGUAGGGGAGACGAAGGAUGGGCGCCAUAUGUUGUCUGGAGAAGGCGUGGCUGCCUCUUCAACAAGGUUCAAGUCAAAACGACGGUUGGAGGGGCCAGACAUUUUCAAAGGUGUUGAAGAGAGAAGAGGUCGGACAAAUCAAGAUCUUAGAAGUGCAAGAAUAGAGCUUCUACUGGUGGAGAUUCAAGUGUGCUUUGGAACUUAAUGUCAGCCUCUAUAAAAAUCUGUACUCGACGGAGCUUCAGAAAUCGAAGAGGCGCCUGCUCAGAAAUCGAAGAGGCGUUUGCUUUCUCAAAAGCUGUGCUGCUCAGAGACCACGAGGGUCGAUCUCAGAAAUCGAAGAAGCGUUUGCUUUCUCAAAAGCUGGGCUGCUCAAAGACCACGAAGGCCGAUCUCAGAAAUCGAAGAUGCGCUUGCUUUCUCAAAAGCUGGGCUGCUCAGAGAUCACGAGGGCCGAUCUCAGAAAUCGAAGAGGCACCUACUUUUCCAGCCUUGUCAGCACCUGUCACACGCACACUCAGCUUUGUGGAAAUUAUGGGCAUUCUGUCGAAGAUUUCUGGUGAAGUAGAAAGCACAUGAAUCUUACUGUUCAAUCACCCACUUCCCACACGCAACAUUAGCUCAUGGGUACCACAGAUAACUUUGCCAAAGUUCUCUGACAAAGUUGAGACACGUGAAGCUUGCAGCUCCCACUACAUCGCUCUGACCAAGAAGGGUAAAAGAAUAGCAAAGAAACAGCACUAACAAAGUUUAGACACAUAAAUUUUGAAGGUCUAGCUACCAUAUUAUUACCCACAAGGGUAAAGGAACAGUACCACUGCUGAAUAAUUGGAAAGUCCAUGUGUGUUAACCUUUGUGCUUCGUGGCAAGGUAGACUAGCACACAUGCCCAACCUUUACUCAUAUUCGAGAAAACUUCCAACAAGAUUGCUUGCUCCAAAAUCGAAGAGGCACCGCCCUCCGAAUCUCGAGAGCCAGACUUCCAACAUGAUUACUUUCUCAAAAAUCGAAGAGACACCGCUCUCCGAAUCUCGAGAGCCAGACCCCUAGCGUGAUUACUUUCUCAAAAAUCGAAGAGACAUCGUUCUCCGAAUCUCGAGAGCCAGAUCCUCGACAGGAUUGCUUGUUCAAAACCGAAAAGGCACCACUUUCCCAACUUCAAAAGUCGGAUCUCCUUGGAUAAAGCUUGUCUGUAAUCUUCACACGCAACAUCAGCUUUCCAGAUACAACAGACCACUUUUUCAAAGUGCUCUGACAGAGUUAAAACAUGUGAAGCUGGCAGCUCCCACUAUCGUGCCAUGACCAAGCAGGGUAAAGGAAUAGCAUUACUACUUGUUGUUAGGGAGACUCUUAUAUAUGUCGACUUCCAUCCCCAACGGACAGACAGACCUGCAAAAAUGCUCAACCCUUCCUCAUAUCUGAGAGGGCACUCCCAACGAAGCCUUUCGAAAUAUACAGCUUUCUUUCCCCCCGAUAAUACCUCUGCAAACAAGCUAUACUAGAGCAAGAAUAUCUCAUAUCAUCAGGGUUAAAAGCAAGAGUAUCCCAUAUCAUGCUUUUUCCCUGUCUUUCCCUUUGGCCUUGUUCUUACCUGCAAGACAAGGAGAGAGAGCAAUCAGUCAGCACUUGGAAUCAAGCUUCCAGUCAGGAACUGACUGCCUGGAACCCCUUAU
rnacentral:lncRNA from 1 species